UUAUCGAUUUUUUUUUUGUAAGCCGCAAUGGGCAAAAAAGAAUAAGGGACGGAUAAAGGGAGCAACUGGUCAACGGGAAUAAGGGAACUCGUUUAUUGAUCGUCUGCAAUUGGAAUCAAGAGAAAGUGAGGAGUAAGCGUGCAUGUGCACGAGAGAGAAUAGCCAAGCAAACCAAAAAUCUAUUGCUCAGGGAGGAGAGAGAUCAUAUAUAGAUGAUGUAUUAACGAACUACUCCAUUCGUCCCUUCUUUAUCAAGAUGGAUAUAUAUAUGCACAAUAUUAACAGGAUACGAAUUAUAAGCUAAAAUAUCAUCAAUGAUAGCUGCACUGGUUUGACACUUCACGACAUGGACACUUUCACAUAGGAGGUAACUUUUUUUGUUUUGUUUUUUUUUUUUUUUCUGAAUUUGUUGGUGCUCUAUGUUAAAGUUUAAUUAGGUGUAUAUGUAUAUACAGUUAGUAGUCUUGAGAUUCCAAAGUAUGCAUGAUGUUCAUAUAACCAAUAAUGUUGGGACUUUGCAUCCUUAAGAUGGAUAGGAGUGGGCACCCAGCUCACAACUCACACCACACACUGCUCUCAUUUAUUUAUUCCUUCUUUAUCAUCUUAAAACACAUAAAACGGAUCUUCUAGUAUGUGCCGUAAGUUUACAUAUAAGAAUUACUUAAUCGGUCCUAUAAACUAUUUUAUGUUUCCUUUUGAUUUGUUUCAAAAGAAUAACCUAUUUUUUUAAAACAAAUAUAUUUUUUUAUCAAAAUAUUCUUCUUUAUUACUUAAGCUACCAUAAAAUUAAAUACAACAAAAAGACAAAAAUAAAUGCAAAAAAAAAAAAUAUGAUUUUCAUUUCAUUUAAUAAAGUUAGUAGUAAUUAAUGUUUAUUUAAUAUAUACGUUUUUUUUCUAUGAAAAAUAAUUUUGGGACAGAUGGAAUAUUAGUUAUGGUAAAUAUUACCAUAACUAAAUGUUAAAUUAAUUAAUUAUAAAAAUAUUCUCAUUGAAAAAUAUGAAAUGCAUUAAUUAUUAUGAAUAUUAAUUAUAAUUAAUAAAUUUGGUAUUUAAUUAUGAUAAUAUUUUUCAUAUUUAAUGUUUCUUCUAUGGUUCCAUAAGAAACAUGUUACAAAAUCCCUACAAAAAAGCUCACGCUUAUCAUUUUUCGCAAUGCAUUCAUUUUUUUUCAAAAUAAAUACAAAUUAAUUAAAACCAUAAAGAAUAAUUUAUAAAUGUAAAAUUAAUAAUCAAAACAAAAUGUUAAUUAUAAUUGAUAGUAAUCUCCUCAGAGUUUGGCAAAUUAUGAAACACACACACGCACAUACACACACACACACACACACACAUAUAUAUAUAUAUAUAUAUAUAUGUGUGUGUGUGUGUGUGUGUGUGUGUGUGUGUGUUAAAUGUGACUUGAGAAUUAAAGGCCUGAAAUUAGAGUUUGAGCAUUUGACAAUUCAAUUUAGGAGAAUCUAUAUAUUCAAUGUAGUAUCUAAAAUUCUAUAGAGCAUGUAUAUAUUCAAUGGACUCUCAAAAAUUCUAAUUGCUAAUCUAUUAAAUAUGGAUGCUUGCUAAUCGUAUUUUUAUAUCUUGAAUCUCUGCUGAAAUUGUACUUGUAAUUCUCAUUUUGAGAAUUCUUAAAUAAGAAUACUCCUUCUUGCCUAUGGAUAUAGGUCAUAUUGACCGAACCAUAUAUGUAUUAUGUUUUGUGUGUUUGUGGUUUCAUGAUUUAUCCAUUUUACUUCCUUACAAGUGUUAUCAGAGCUUGAAAAGUGCCAUCAGAUUUGUUUUCAACCUUGACAAGUGAAGUGCCAUCAGAUUUGUACCAUCCGGUCUUACAGCUCGGGUCGGACCCUUGAGUUUGGUAUCUUAGUGAAGAUCCUUCGGUCUCACAAGAAUAGAAUAACUCAAUAAGGCACAUGAGUAAUAUACAACAUAAAUCACAAAGACGAAAUGCAUGAUAUCACAUAACUCAGUAUAAGCAUAUAAGACCCUCCGAUCACACAAUGAUUACCACUCAAGUAAGUAUAGUGAGAAGAAUCACCUCGCGGAGUAGAGCAAUAUACCCCACACUCGAAUUGUUGGUCUAGACUCUGCAUACACAUAUCACAAUCAUAUCUACUUAACAAUUAUAUAAAACGUUAAGCUAACUCCUCUACUAAAUCUCCGAAAAGGGGGAAAGACCAUUUACCCCUCCAUGCUCUCCAAAGUCCACAACUUGACCCAACCCUUGUUACACCCCUAAACCGGAAUGACGGAAACGUUCCGGGGCGGAGGACGUCAUGUCAAGUAUCACAACACAUGCAUUAUAGUAAUCAAAGUACAACAACCAUUGCAUUAACAAUGUAUAUGUUUUUACAUAAGUAUUCAUACAUUAGAUAUUCAACAUCAAAAGUAGAUACAGUAAAAGAGAAACGACACAACAAGGCACUAGGCUGUCAUCUCAAAAGCUCCUGGAGUAUACCUGUCUACUGGAUACCUUGAGAAUACAAGUUAUUUGAAAGAGAGGAUCAGUAUUUAAGCUGGUGAGUUCAUAAGUAUUUUUUUUAUAAAAAGUUCUCGUGUUCCUCCAGAAAAUCCUAUAUUUUCUGAUGUGAUAGAAUGAUAACCACAAUAGUUCCUUCUACAAUCACUUAGUUUAUACUAAUUAUAUAUAACCUAAUAUCGAAUGGACAGUUAAAUGUGCGAAUCUGCCCUAAGUCCACAACCAAACAAGAAACAGGAAGUAAGGCGAAAAUCACACAUUCCACUGCCUGUUGGAUAUUAUUUAUAUAUAAUUUUGAUGUAUAAACUAAGGAAUUAUAGAAUGAAUCACUAAAGGUCGUUUAUGUUAUACUAGUUUUAAGAAAGUGACUGAUUACGUUCCAGAAAAUCCUAUAUUUUCUGUUUUACAACUGAAAAGUAAUUUUCAUUCCAUAAAAUCGUUAUGUUUAAGUAUUAUUGUACUUAUAAUAAAGUUUAACAUAAUUUUAACUAUCCAUAAAAUUAUAAGAAGAAUGUCUUCCGUUUUGUUGGUAAAAAGUAGUUUUAAUCCCAUAAAACCGUUCUGUAAGUAGUUUUAAAUCCCAUAAAACCGUUCUAUAAACUAGUUUUAUAUCCCAUAAAACCAUUCUGUUUUGUUUGUGGAAAGUUAUUAAUACAGUAGUAUUUCUUAAAAAUAAGCUAUUGGUGAAUAACUACCCUAUUAUUAGACUGAUUAAUUAGGGUUAAAAUGUGACAAAGUUGUAACCAUGCUGAUAGACUAGAAUAUACACGACAACCUUCUUGUGUCAAAAUUGAAUAUAUGACAUUUGUCACCCCUAGGCCUGCCGGCCAAACUGUAGCUAACAGUCGGGAUUGUUGGUCCCGUAUAAAUCUAUACACAUAAUGUCCGCUCUCCCUCCAGGAGACUCUGGUUACAAUAAUGUAACAUAGCAAGUAUAUUGCUAUGUCCUAAAGACUUACCAUCACAUUUUAAUUUGAGUAACGAUCGAAUUAUAGAUUUUUCUUGACAAAGUAGUUGAGAUCUCGUAUACUUAUCUAUAAAUUAGCUUUCUCGUUUGUUUCAUAAAUUAUACCUAUUAUAAUUUAUACAUUCGAUCUGAUUAGCAAGAUCUCUCAUGAGUGUACUCCUUUACUCAACGUAAUACAAAGGUAAUGAUACUAACUGAAAUAACAUUUUAUAUUCAUAUAAGUAUAAUAUAUAUAAUUAAGAAGGAAACGAACUUCGGACAAAUAAUACCACCUUAAGCCCACAUCCAAACAAGGAAAAGGAAAUAAGGUAAUUCAUUACUCCUAAGCCCUUAAGUCUUAUUUAUAUACCUAUACGUAUACAAACAUGAUUUUGACAAUUAUAUGUUGAAGAUUUAUAAAAAGAGUUAUAAAAACAUUUAAAAGAGUUUAACGGUAUUCUAAAAAGAGUUUAGCUGACUUUUAAAAGAGUUAACAUGACUUUAAGUCAUUAUGGAUGUAUUUGGAAUCCUUUAUUGUAAAAGUAAUAAUUUAAAGCAUAAGGAAUUAUUUUAUGCGAUUGAUAUCACAUAUAAUUAUUAACACAAUUAAAUUGUGUUCAACUUGUAUUCCCACCCCCUCCCUUAAAAGCAUUUAAAACCAUUUAAAAAGUAGAUUAUAAGGGUAUGAACUCAUCUUAUGUUGGUGAUUCGAUUGAAGAUAUGAUAUAGGAUGAUAAGUUUCCCAAAUGAAGUCCCCAAGCACAAAGGAGUCCUAAAUGACAUAUGAUGAUACAUAUAGGCAUGAAAUUAGUGAAUCUAACCAGAAAGGUGUUUAGCAUACAACCUAGGAUGAAAGAAUAACUCACCAAAGGAGUGUUAUAAUCAAGUUAGUUGGCGGAAAUGGAGUUCACGGCCCUAUGGAGUGAUCAUGACCAAAGAACACAUGACUGUUCAUGGCCCAAGUUGAAGGGUUCACGGCCCUAUGAAUGGUUCAUGACCCAAGACCAUGAAGAACACUUGAAGAUUUUGGUGUUUAGCAAGUGCUUGAAGGCCCUUUGUUGUAUUCCAAGAAGAUACAAAAGAAAAGUGGUGUUUAAGGGAAGAAAAGAGUGUUUCUUGAGGAUGAUACUUUAGAGAGAAUGGGAGGAUCAUGGAUAGAAGAAGAGAAAUGAAUCUAUAUAAUAUAUAUAAGGGAUAGUUCACGGCCUAAGGAGGGUUGACGGUCGUGAACAUGGCCCGAGGUGAUAAGCCUUCUAGAAACGGCCUCAUAGUUGAUGGCUCCUAAGCGAUAUCACGGCUAAGGGAAGUUCACUGUCCGAGGUGUUCACGGUUGAAGCCUCAUUCACGGUUGUGAACCUCGUUCAAGGUCCGAGGUUUUUGCCUCGUAUGGGUUCCUGGAACACCCGAAAUCAAAAAGGUCAAGAAAGGAAUGGAAAAACCCUAAAUUAAAGAGGGUUGACUCGGCGAGUCUAGGGAGGAACUCGGUGAGUCGGAGUGGGAUCCGGGUGUAAAGUAAGUGACCGACUCGGCGAGUCAGCAAGUGGACUCAGUGAGUUCUGUCUGGGUUGGGAAACCCUAAUUUCGGCACUUGGUACCCUAUUUAAGCAUCUUAUUCUCUUCCCUAUGGCUCAUUUGCGGCCCCUAUAGUCCAGAACCCGAAACCCUAAGCCUCCAUUGUUGCUCAUUCAAGCUUCCAAGCCAUUUUUGGGUGAUUUGAAGGAAGAAGAAAGAGGGAAAUCAAGGAAGCUUCAAGGAUUGGUCUUAGAUCUGGAGUUUAUGGAACCUUUCUGAGUUAUUAAAGGUACAAAGUCGUUUCCAUCAUUUAGAUCUAUUCUAGUUGUGAGAUUUGGGGCUUUUUGAGCAAGUUUAUGAACCAUUUCGAGUUAGAAGCCCAGAUCUGAAAUUGCUACUUCAGAUCUAAGUAUAUCAUGGCCUAGAGAAUCAUAAAGCAUCAGUCUAUGGGUUAUUGUUAAGCCCCUUUGUCUUAAACACUAGUUCAUGGUGUAUUUAGCCUAGAUCUCCUUAGCUACACGUAAAGUUUGCCAUUUUACGUAAGGAAUAGGCUUUAGAAGAGUGGAUCUAUAGUUUGGAGUGCAUGCAUGACUCAAAAGCCUCUGAAUAUAUGAAAGACUGAAUAGACUCGGCGAGUCCUUAGAGUGGACUCGGCGAGUAGUAUGAAGAUGGAGAUGAAAUCGACGAGUUGGAUGAACAACUCGGUGAGUCUGUCGAAGAUUGCCUCGGACUCGGCGACUUUGCUCUUGGACUCGGCGAGUCAAGUCGCGAAACCCCAAACCCUUCGAGUUAAGACUCGGAUCAGUGAGUUGAGUGGGGACUCAGUGAGUUGGUCAGGUCAGGACUCGGAAAUCGAUAGACUCGGCGAGUCAGGGGCUGACUCGGCGAGUCGAGUCGCGAAUGAAUGGAUUCUGAGCGUAUGAACUUAGCAAGUCAGUAGGAAGACUCGACGAGUAGGGUUGACCAGGAUUUUGACUUUGAUCAGAAUUGAAUUAGUUGACUUUUAGAGGACUGUCAGACUAAGUGUCAUAUUAAUAUUGGUAGCUCGGAGAGCUAGAGGAGCAGCGGCUCAGAGGAUUGUCGGUUAGCAGCCAGAGGAUUAUCGGCAGAGCUCAGCAGUUCAAGUGAGUUUCCUUCCAGUAGGAAUGGGUCUACGGCCACAAUACCGUCCCGAUUAGUUAGCAGUAGUUUCAGGACUUCGGUCCGAUGCAGUAGUUAGUAUGUUUGAUGCCUUUGUGGCUCAGACAGGAUUUAUGUGUGAUGAGUUGAAUAACUCUUUGAUCGUUUAGAUCUUUAAACAGGUUAAUCAUGAAAAGGUAAAACAUAAAUAUCAAGCACAAGAGUGAAUCAAAAUAUGUCGAAUGAUUCAAUAGAUUCAAGCCUCAGCAGAGCUUGACAAAGAACUUCCACUGUAGAGGCUACUAGGGGUACAAACGAUAAAAAUAAUAUCUAUGAAUGAUUGACUUCAAAUCUUACAUACUAAGAUGCAUGCAAGCAUCAAUAAAUACUAAACCCUAGAGCAUAAAUCACCGAUGGACAAGCCCAAUCCGGAAACAAAAUUGGACUAAGAACGAGCCCAAGACGCAACAUAUAAUGGAUCCUACAAUCUCCCCCUUUGCGUCAAUUUGAGUGAGAUUCUACUUCGGCUUGCUGGGUCCAACUGCAGGAACUUUCUUUGUGGUUUCGAACAGACGAGGAAUAAGGGCAAGGAUGGUUUGUCUGAAGCGAAUGUACUACUGGAUCAUAUCAUCGAAUUAUUUCUUGUCAUUAUCAGAAUUCUGCUUGCAUCGAUUGAUGAUCCCCAGAACAUAUUCCCAGCAUGCAGUGGUGUAUAGAUGCUUGUCUGCCAAGGCAAACAGGCAUUUUUGGCCUUCUUUCCUUGUGAACAUGACUGAGUUCCGUUUUGGGUCGAUCCUCCCCAUCUUCAUUUUAUUCAGAUCGCUUGCAGAGCCAACUGGAGAGAUGGUGGGCUUUUUCUUGAAAAUACUUGCGAUCUCCUGAUCCAUCUUGGCGACCUCCAUGAUGUAGCAAACUAACAUCCUUUUGAAGUGAUCUAUGAUUGGCNUCAGCUUCGUGGUGAGGAGGAUGUUGUGCAAGAUGAUCCAAUCAUGUGGAUUCAGGUUGGGAAGAUCAGCAAGUGAAAUAGCAUGUUCUGUUUUAGCAGACCCCCUCAACACUUUGAACCGAACGUUUGUGAAGUUCCCCUCCCGAAAAGGUUUGAGGACCCGAAUGUUUAUGAUCUUCUCAGCACUCCACGUCUGAUAUUGAGGCUGAGCAGACCUCAUAUAGAAUUCAACAAGCUCCCUAUCAACCUUUGGGUGAGGAUGAGGGACAUCAGCAACGUGGGAGAAUGCAUGAAAUAUGAAGGCCUUUCGGGUCAAGGGCAUAUCAAACUGAGAGUCGACAGAAUUGACCCUGUCCAAGGAAAUCACCGGUUCGAGCCAUAGGAUGCUGGGAGUAUCAAUAGCUUCUUUGAUAAGCUUCACGAGUGUCCACGGAGGAAAUAGAGUUUUUCAACUCUCAAGAAGAUCAUGAGCCUCCAUUUUUCUUUCGUUCGCCUCAGCCUUUCUGGCAACGCGAGCACUCAUGACUGCAUCCUUUUCCAAGCCUUGUUUCUUCAAGAGAUCAGCGAUGGUCUCUUUAUCAUCAUCACCAUCACUGUCUUCAAUAAUCUUCUUCCCUUUAUCUUUAGCACCCGAACCUGAAGGUUGACCCGUUGGAGGAGGUUCGGUUGCUUUAGUUGAUGUAGAAGUAGGAGGCGGUUGACACACAUCUUCUCCACCUUGUUUUGGAUGGCCCACGAACUCAGGAAGCCCUUCAAUUUUGCUAAGUAGGUCAAGGGCGGGAGCAAGCUUCUCAGCUAGAGUGCGCCUCACAGAAUAGUUCAGGAUGGGAUCAUGCACUUCAAUAAUGUUGGAGAGGACGACGUGGACAUCCGAAACAUACGUGGAAAUGACCGCUCGCUUAGAUCGGAGAGACGCAACCUCCUUUUCUAAUUGGAAAAGUUGAAGACUCUGGACCUAUAGAGCAGUGGUUUUGCGAGCAAGAGCAUCCAUCACGGAGUUUUCUGAAGCGAGAUCUUCUUGCAGCUUUGUCAAGCGCUCCUCAACAGUCGCCUGGAAGGUUUUAUUGUCAACCUCAACAGACUGACAAAGACUGGCGAAGAAUUGUUGUUCUGAUGUGAAUGAAGUCGCCAGCUUUUCGACAAGAGAGUCAACAUUCGCUACAUUGGAAUCAGCGGCUCCCUGUAAAGACUGUAAAAGAUUGUUAGCAUUGACAAAUAGUUUUUCGACUUUUUCGGUCGCAACAGCACACGCCUUUGUAGAUGCGUCGAUAGCAGCAGUGGCAAAGUUGAUUGAGGCUUCAUGUGCCUUUGUGAACGAAUCAACUAGCCCCUGAAUGGCAGCCUCUAAGAUAGUGGACCGAGAGGAUGAGGAGGAAGCGAUGAGACUGUCGAUUUUCUCAUGAAGUUCCUUGAGAUGCUUUUUAGUGACAGGAGCAUCAUCGUCAUCAUCACUUUGAACCUGGUACGGACUAUAGUAGACAGAUUCAAAAGUCAUGUCUUUUCCUCCAAGAAAAGUCUCGUCAUCUGCUGAGUGAUUGGGAGAUGAAGGCGAAGGUGGAGGUUCGGUUGUGGGAGUAUGUUCGGGGGUGGAAGUAUGUUCAGUAGCAGGUGUGUGUUUGGGUGCUGAAGUAUGAGCCCCCGUAUCAGAUACGUUGGUUCGAACUCCAGUGGUGGUUGUUGUCGUGGCUUCUGAGAAAAUAGGAGGUGGUACAGUGAUAGAGGUGGGUGGUAUAUGAGUAGUGGAUGUUAUGGGGGGAAUGGAAAUAGAGAUGGAGAUUGGGGGAGGAGAGACAGGUUUAGAUGAAACGCGUACCUCAGGUGAAGGCGAACGGGGAGGAGUGUUACCUCUAAGUGACUCCUCUGAGUCUAAACUCUCAUCCUCUGAUUCACUGGAGGAAGAGGAAAGAAUGAGUUUGCGCCUGGGUUGGGUUUUCCUCUUCUUUGGUGGAGGUGAUUGAGUUGCCUUCGAAGGUUUUCGCUUCUUUGGAGAAGGACCUUUCGCUCCUUUGACAACUUUCUUGUCUUUCCCCUUUUCUGGUUUCUUGCCCCUGGGAUCAGGCUUGUCAGUGUCGUGGAUAGAUUGAAUCAUUUCUGGAGUGAGCACUUUGGGGCCUGAACGAAGAAACUCCUUGUAAGUCUUGAUGAUGCGACUAUCCCUUGGAACACACGCAUACAUUGACUCAGGGAUUGAGCCAAUGAACUGAAACUUGGAAGAAUCAGUCACGAUGAUCUUCGUUGUGUGGAAAACACCGAUCGAGGAGAGUGGAGAAUCAGCAAUGACAGGGACAUGAUACUUGUCCAUUACCCACUUUGUGACCAGUGUCCAGAAUCUGGCAUAAGAAAUCUUAGAAUGGCGAGAAGUAGAGGCAAGACUUUGGAUCAACUGCUGCCAUAACACAGAGCCAUAGUCAAUAUUCAGGCCGUGAUAUAACCCGUAGAGAAUCGUCAUAAACACACGGCUAGCCCCGUCAGAACCUGGACUUCUUUCUGACAAACCCUUGAACAGCACCGUGAAGAAGCCAUUCCACUGUGGAGGAACACAGGAUUUCUUGAACUUUGUGACCGUAGUUAGAAUCUCAGUGUAUCCCAUGUUGUAAAACAUGGAGAACAACUGUCCCACAGGAAUAGACUCAGGGUUAACCCUUGACUCAUCAGGUUUAAACCCUAGAAGCGAACAUAAUCGCUGUUUGGAGAUGGAGGUUUUGGUAUCAAGAAUGUCGAAGAAAAUGCGAUCGACAGACUUGUCAUAGUGGGCAGUUGAGAAGAUCUGCGACAAACACUCCAUUGGAACGAUUUCAACCUUGGUUAAUGUUAGAACCAAUGGAGAGUGUUUGAGACACUCCACAAUUGGGAACAUGAAGGCGUCGUAGGCAUGUGGGGUGAGAUCAAUGACCAGGCUUUGCUGAGGUCGGAUAGGCAGAAUGUGGGAGGUUGCGUGAACAGAAGAAGAAUCCGCCAUUGAAGAGUGUUUUGGAGAAGAAGAUGAACAGUGGGAGAAAAUAAUCGUUUCUUGCUCUCUGAAUUUUGGGUGAAGUAAAGAGGUAAAAGACCUUAUGGUUUACCCUUUAUACCGUGGGUUAGAGGAGAGAGAAGAAUCCGCCCCCAAAUCUUCUUGAAAAUCGAAUCGUUUCCUAAGUUGAUUGACGCGUGACAGUUUAGCAACCCUAUGAUUACGCAUGAGAGAGAAAAACUCUUCCGUUUUGCACGCUUUCCCAUCAAAUGCCCUUUUGAAUUCCUUAACCGAUAAUCUCCCGGCUGAGUCAGCAGUUUAUCCUUAAAAUUAGCUGUCUUCACUAAAUAAAAGCGAACACAUGUAGCAUUAACAACAACAUCCUGUUUAGAAUAUAGCAUUAAAUCCCGACACCAAAAAAAAAAGCUUGUAAUGAAGGAAACCAGAUUUUUGGAAAAUCAAAAAGAUUUUCGUGCAUAGAGUGUCAAAGAUAAAGAAAUAAAGCAACAUAUAUGUGGGAAUAUGUGAUGUCAAUUGAGACAGAAAACUAUGGAUCCCCGGCACGAAUCUCUUCCUUCAAAGUCAAGAGAGACCUUAAAGUGUUUGUGUGGUUUCCCGUUGAAUUACGAUCAAUCACUAGUUAAGAAGUGUUGAAAGGCAUCUUUUAAUAAGGCUUAUUUGGGAGGCUUUCGCUUCAGUUCUGAAUUCCUGAUCUUGACAUAAGACAGAAAUCGACUGAAGAACUUGUGAGACUAAUGUGGUCUAUUGAACAAAUAGGUUUGGAUAAUGUGUUAGUGACUAGUUGGAAAUACUAGCUGUGAAAUCUCAAGAAAAUUAAAAACGGGAUUCUAUGGGAAGAAAUGUUAUGGUAUGUAACAAUUUCAUAAGAAUCACACAGAGAGAAAAUUAGAGAUUUCAUGGUACAACCACUUGGAUGGAUUCGUUAAUUCAUGAGUGAAAACUAGAGCAAAUUUAAUUGUUCACCGUCAAUGCAUAGUAGGUAUUGAAUUGUGGGUUUCACUUAGCACGUAGUGACACGAAGCUAAGAUCACAAACACAGAGAUUGUGUAAUCAUAAACCUCGGUGGUAAUUUCUGAGAGUCUCAAGGGUUACUUGUAUGAAGUGAAUAUGAUGGAGAAAAAUAUUUGUGGUGGUAUAAAGAAACCAAAGUACCUCUGUUAUAAAAAUAGUGACCAAUCAGAAAAACUCUUAACUCAUAUGAGAAAAGAGUAAGGUAGCUCAUGAUUAGAAUAAAUGUAUCAGCCUAAUUGGGAAGACAAGGUUUGUAUAUACCAAGUCAGUAAGGCUUUAUUCAGAAUCAGUUGAGGCUUUGGAGAACAUGCAACAACAUGCUUCUAGGGACACUUAGCUAUUAAAAAGUGUGAGAAUGAUAACUGUCCCAUCGAUAAUCCAUAAACGGUGAAUACAAACAGAAGUAGAGACAAAAAGAAAAAGAAAAUAUAUUUGAAGUUUUUGAUAAUUUGGUAAAAAAAACCAAAUAGAAAAAAAAAAUUUGGAACCGAACUCGAAAUGGACAGAACGCUCGGUUCAUUUCGGUUCAAAAAAAAUUUGGAAUUAAAAAUUUUGGAAAACAAUUGUACAAAAUUUUACAACCAAAGAAACCACCUUUUUGAGAUAAGCGAAAACAAGUGCAAUGGGACCGAACCCGAAAUAGACCGAGCGUUCGGUUCAUUUCGGUUCCCAUGUGAACCGAACCCGAAAUAGACCGAAUGUUCGGUUCAUUUCGCUUCCAACUUUUAGUUUUGAGAAGGUGUUUUUGGUACUGACUCUGAUUCCAUCAUACCUAGUCCUUGUAGAAUUUUAUUAAAACUUGCUUCAGGAAGGGAUUUGGUGAAGAUGUCAGCCAGUUGAUCAGUGGUUCGAACAAAGUGAAUCUCUACGUUUCCGUCUUCCACAUGAUCCUUAAUAAAGUGAUACCGCAAUGCAAUAGGUUUGGUAUUGGAGUGUUGCACCGGGUUAUGACAAAUCCUGAUUGCACUUUCUGAGUCGCAAUAUAGAGGGAUCUUUUUUAUAUUGAGUCCAUAGUCCCGGAGUUGGCUUUGGAUCCAAAUCACUUGAGAUGUGCAGGAGGCAGCUGCAAUGUACUCUGACUCGGCUGUAGACAGAGAAACACAUGUUUGUUUCUUAGAUUGCCAGCUCACCAACUUUUCGUCGAGGAAUUGACAGGCUCCUGUAGUGCUUUUCCUGUGUAAACCACAUCCUCCAAGGUCUGCAUCUGAGUAGGCUUGAACAAAGAAACCUGAGUUUGAGGGAUACCAGUGACCGAGAGAGGUGGUUCGCUUCAAAUACCGGAGUAUAUUCUUCACUGCCAGCAUGUGUGGUUCACGAGGAUUUGCUUGAAACCUAGCACAAUAGCACACAUAAAACAUUAUAUCAGGCCUGCUAGCUGUGACGUACAUCAGGGAACCAAUCAUUUGGCGAUAUAGCAUUAUGUCAACUGCCGGUUUUUCCAAAGAUGGUGUGAGCUUGGUACCGAACGCCAUAGGGAAUUUGAACUUUGAAUCUCCCAUCAUGCCGAAUUUAGGAAGAAGUGUCUUGGUAUAUGCUUCCUUGUUUAUAAAGAUGCCUUCGGGUCCCUGUCUAAUAUUUAAACCAAGGAAAAAGUCAAUCGGACCCAUUUAGCUCAUUUCAAAUUUUGUCUCCAUCAACUUUCUGAAUUCAGCUGUUAGGCUAGGAUUCGUGGAGCCGGAGAUGAUAUCAUCGACAUAGAUUUGGACGAUCAUAUGGUGGUUACCUUCCUUUUUACGAAAGAAGGUUGGGUCAACCAAACCUUGUUUGAAUUUAGACAUCUUUAAAAACUUAGUUAGUGUGUCAUACCAGGCCCUAGGUGCUUGUUUCAGAUCGUAAAUUGCCUUAUCUAAGAUGUAACAGUGAUUUGGAUAUUUUUCAUUCAUGAAACCAGGAGGUUGCUCCACGUACACAGUUUCUUCAAGUUCCCCAUUCAGAAAAGCGCACUUCACAUCCAUUUGGUAGACCUCGAAAUGCUUGUGUGCAGCAUAGGCAAGAAAUAUUCGAACAGAUUCCAGCCUUGCUACUAGAGCAAAUGUCUCUUCGUAAUGAAUUCCUUCUUCCUGGCAGUAUCCUUUUACCACUAGCCGAGCCUUAUUCCGGAUUACAUUCCCCUCCUUGUCCAUUUUGUUCCUGAACACCCACUUGAGACCGACAACCAAGGCAUCUUUUGGUGUUGGAAUGAGUCUUUAGACUUUAUUUCUUUCAAACUCAUUGAGUUUGUCUUGCAUUGCCUGGACCCAAUCAGAAUGAUCAAGGGCAAUAUUGAUGGUCUUCGGCUCGAUUUUGGACACGAAAGAAUUAAACAUGCAGAACUCUACUUUGGAGAAUAAAGCAGUUUGUUUCGCCUUCAGUUGUGAACGAGUUAGAACUUUCUCUGAUGCGUCACCCACUAUUUGAGAUACAUGAUGAUCUCUGGUCCAUUUGGUGAGAGGAGGAUAGUUUGGAUUAUAGGAUGGAUCCAAUUCAGCAUUUAUCAUUUCUUCCAACUCUGAUUGAAUAUCAUCGUCAUAUAGCAUAUCGGAAUUCUCCCCCUCGACAGAUGAUGAGCCAAGAAAUCUUUCUUCAACUGGGCUUUCGGGUUGAUCCAGGCUUUCGGUUGUCACUAGACUUUCGGGUGUUACUGGACUUUCGGGUGCAGAGGGGCUUUCGGGUGCAACAGGAAUUUCGGGUGCAUAGGGGCUUUCGGGUGCGUCAAAAAUUGGAUUCUCCCCCUGAAUAUGUGAGUCCUACUCAUUUGAAGAGGAUAGAUUCUCCCCCUCGACCGAAGUACCGCUCUGGGGAGGUUCUUUUCGAACCGGUUCUUCUGGUCCCAUUCGUUUGGCUGCAUCUUCGACGAUCUUCUUAAGGUGAUCAAUCUUGUUGUCUGCUACCGUGGCUUCAGAGUGAGAUGCUUUCUCAGGCUCAUCAAAUAGAUCCAUGAACUUGUCAAAGAGAUUGGCGAUAGAGGCUGUGACUUGACCUGUUUGAGAGAGAAUCUCUCCUAUUGCUUCUUCAGUGGACUUCAACUUCUUGACGUAAUUGUCAUCAAACGUCACAUAAUAGGUUUCUUCAAUUCUUUUAGAAUGCUUAUUCAAAACCCUGUAAGCCUUUGAAGUAAGAGAGUAUCUCAGGAAGAUACCUUCAUCAGCUUUGACAUCAAACUUGUUGCGAUGUUCUUUGGAGUUGAAUAUGAAGCACCUGGAACCGAACACGUGAAAGAAUUUGACAUUCGGCUUCCUGUUGUUGAUUAUCUCAUAAGGAGUGAGAGAGAAACGCUUGUUGAGAUAAGACCAGUUCUGAGUAAAACACGCUACAGCAAUGACAUCAGCCCAGAAAUAUAAAGGAAGGGAAGCAAAACUUAGCAUCGUUCGGGCCGCCUCACACAGGGAUCAUUUUCGCCUUUCGAUAAUUUCGUUCUGUUGAGGUGUAUAAGGGAACUUUUAGAGUGUGUGAGAGAUCCCUCAACAGCGGUGUGUAAAUUGUUCAGGAAUUGUUAUAUUUUCAGCAUGGUGACAUUACGCGAGUUACCAGUUAGGAGUUCAGGUAUCGGGGAGGGAUCUGGUUGAGGCUCUAGAGCCGGGCAGCUUGAUGAUCAGAUGAGGGAUUUCAUUUCCGCAGAGAUCAUGCACAACAUCAUUGAUCAGACUCCUAUGAUUUUCGGCUCGGUUAGAGAGGCCAUUAUGGAGCGUAUGGACAGUCAUCUUGAGGCCUUUAAGGUCGGGAUAGUUUCAGGACAGAUUGGGGCUCAUCUAGAUCCCGAUUCUUAUGGAGUUCAGGGAUGCAUCAGGGAGGGAGAUCCCAUUUCUAGCUUUUGCCAUCAGGGGACAGAAGUGAGUGGGGCAUCCUGUCUCCAAGAUAGACCUCUAAAUGAAUGGAUAGUUGAGGAGGUUACGCGAGCCAUUCGUGAGGAUCUGACCGACAUGGUCGUGAGGAUCACGGAUAGGUUGAUCGCAAAGCUCUAGGAUCAGACAUUUGUUGUUCAGUCGACGGGCGGUGUCGAUGAGGUAAUGCAGGAGCGAGAGACAGGUAGGGAGUCGGAAAGGAAGAGGAAAACGGAUGAGACUCAGGUAGCCACAUGUUCGGGUAAGAGGCCCAAGGGGUUGGAUUUGAGGACAAAGGACUAUCAGAGCCGCAGUCGAUGCAGGAAGUACGGUAGGACGCACAUGGGUGCGUGCAGGCGUAAAAGUGGUGGAGAUGCUGGAUGUUUCAAGUACGGCCAGAUUGGCCAUUUUAGCAGAGAUUGUAUUGUUACCAUCGCCUAGGAACUUAACCCGAUAUGUUUCCAUUGCAGUCGGAGGGGCCACAAGAAGGCCCACUGUCCGAGUUUGUAUACAGCAGAGCAGGCAAUAGCUCCAGCCCCUGUGACUUGAAGUACCGCCAGCGGUUGCCGGGGCCAGGCAAGGGUGCCCAUGGCUCGGAGCUGAGUUUUCCAGUUGAUUUCAGCAAGGAUUCGAGCAGCGUUGAGUGAUGGAGGUAUGUAUCUUUUCCCUCCUUAUCAAUUAUUAUUCAUGAUAUUAUUGUUAUGUUGCUGCAUUGAUAUCAAUAAGUAUAUGUGUUGGGGUAUUAUAUUACCUGCUUGUGACGCAGUGUUAUGCCAUCUACAUACCUUGGAAUUGAAUGGUGAAUUGGAGGUCGUCCUCUCUAGGGCAGGUUACUUCGGAUACAUGUGGUAAAGAAAUUGGUAAUGUGACUGGUAGGCUAAUUGGCAAAGUGGUUUCAACACUUGUGAUAGGUGCCCCCGUAUCAGAUACGUUGACAACCGUAUCGAAAAUAGGUACCUCCUCAGAAACUGAUUUGGUAGUGACUAUUUCAAGUGGUUGAGUGGAAAUUUGUGAAACAUUUAAAAUGGACACAUGUGGAAGAGAAACGAUUACCAUUGUAGAAACUGGUGGAGUGUUUGGAACCACCUCUUCCUCUGAAGACUCAUUGCGAAUAAUCAACUUUCGCUUCUUCAACAAAGUUUGUUGCAUCUAUUUCGCAAUAUCCUGAGCGCGUUGCCUCUUAGAUCCUGGAGAUAUAGAAGCUGGAAUACUGCAAACCGUCACCCACUUACUGCUCACUUCGGUUUUGCGAAUAUUUUUCAAUACCCCUGAUUUUGAGGGUAUUGUUUCCUUCUUCGACUUUGAUGAGGUUUCCUCUAUCUGAACCUCUUCUUCUUGACUUUGUUUCGAAGAUUGAGCAUUUUCAUCCUUCUUGGUGGCCUUCUUCUUCUUUGGGGUUUUUGCAGUGGCUUCCAAUAAGAUCCCAGUCUCCACAGCUGGAUCAAAAGUCUUCAUGUAGCGUAUCAACACUUUGUGAGUGGAUGAUACUUUGCGAAGCAUCACAUCAGGAAUACGAGCAAUAUGAGAAAAAAUAUUUUCAUGAUCCUCCACCUCCUUUGAAAACUGAUACAUUGAAAAUUCCGCAACCUCAGCAUCUUCUGGAACUGGAAUACCCUCUUUUUCAUACGCCUUUUCCAGAAUAAGCCUCCAAUAUCUGGCACAUGAUACACCUUUCUCAGAAUUGGUGUUUUCCAAACUUUUUACGAACUCCUUCCACAACUGAGUUCCAUAAUCAACAUUAAGAUCAUAGUAUAAGCCCAUCACCUAUCUAAGUGUUCCAUAGCAUCCUUUAUUGUCUUUGGCUCUAUUUUCGAAAUAAAGACAUUAAACAUACACAGUUCUUGGUUCGUAUUCAGUACCUCAUUUUUCGCACGAAUUUGAGCUCUUGUCAACACACCAUCUUUUAGAUUGCCAAUUACCUGUUCUUUGGAUGAUUUCUUGUCCAUUUCUCAAGUGGUGGAUAAUCAGGAUCAAAAUCCAAUGGUGCAUCUUCAUACAUAUCUUCAUUUUCAGAACCUGCAACAGAAAAAUUAUCAUUUAGUUCAUGAAACUCGUCAUUUUCAUCAAGAUUAAUUGUCUCUAUUUCAUCAUGCUCCCCCUCAACAUGAUGUUCAUCUUGAUGCUCCCCCUCAAAAUGAUGAUACUGUUGAAUUUGCGAAUGCUCCCCCUCAACUUGAUGAUUCAUAUUUUCAUUCUCCCCCUCGAAAUUGUGCGGUCUGAGCUCAUUGUUAUUUGUAUGCUCCCCCUCCAUAUGAACUUCAGUAAAACAUUCGCAAGAUUUUGAACUUGUUGUGAUUGUUGAAUCAUCAGUAUGUUUUGAGGAUUCUGAUGUUUGAUUAUCGGGAGCAUUGUUUUCAGCAUUAAUUGCCCUGUCAGGAAUUCCAAAAAUUAAGUCAUAAUCAAAAUCAUUUAUUUCAGACUUAUCAAUUUGUGUAACUGAAUCAACAAGAAUUGAUUUAUUUUCAAAUUUACUAUCCGUUUGUUUGAGAUAGUAAUCAUCAAAAGUUAAGUUGAAAGUUUCUUCAACUUUUCUUGUUCGCUUGUUUAGCACCCUGUAUGCAACUGAAUUUUGCGAAUAUCCUAAGAAUAUGCCUUUAUCAGCUUUAGCUUGGAAAUUUGUCAAAUUGUCUUUGAGAUUAAUUAUAAAACACCUACAACCAAAAACAUGGAAAAAUUUGACAUUAGGUUUUCGAUUGUUGAGUAUUUCAUAUGGAGUGAUAUUGAAUCUACGAUGAAUGAAUGAUCUAUUCUGAGUAAAGCACACAGUUGAAACUGCUUCAGCCCAAAGAUAUUGAGGUAGAUUCACAUAUGUUAACAUGGUUCUGGCUGCUUCGCAUAGAGAUCGAUUUCUUCUUUCAACAACAUCAUUUUGUUGAGGAGUAUAUGGUGAUGAGAAAUUAUGCGAAAUGCCUUUGCCUAUGAGAAAUGAAUCAAGAGUUUGGUUUUUAAACUCAGAACCAGUAUCACUUUUAAUUUUGCAAACAUUCUUUUUAAGCCUAAUCUCAAUCAUUUUGAUAAAAUCAAUCAUCGUCUUAGCAACUUCAGAUUUUAACCUGAGAAAAAAUACCCAUGUGAAUCGUGAAAAAUCAUCAACAAUAACUAAAAUGUACCGCUUUUUAUUGAUUGUAGCAACAGUCGACGGUCCACAUAAGUCAAUGUGAAGAAGUUCCAAUGGUUCUACGAUUUUUGAAUCUAUCAUAAUCGGAUUACCUUUUCUAUGUUGUUUUCCUUGUUCGCAAGCUGCACACAGAGAAUCAUUGUCAAAUUUUAGUACAGGUAAACCUCGAACUAAAUCUUCAGUGACAAGUUUGUUAAUAUUGCGAAAGUUCAAAUGUGACAAUCUUCUAUGCCAAAGCCAGCUGACAUCGUAGAUGCCUUUGAUAGUAAACACACAGCAGGUUUGCCGACGAUUGGUUUGAUGUCCAGUGUAAACAUAUCACCAUAUCUUUUGGAUUUGAGAAGUACUUCAUUUGUUUUCGCAUUUGAAAUGAUACUUCCUUCUUCAUUAAACACAAACUGGUUUCCGGUACCCACAACAAGUUGCGAAACACUAAUCAAGUUAUGUUGAAGUCCUUCUACAUAAGCAACCAUGUUAACAGUGAAUUGUCCAUUUGUGACUUUCCCAUAGCCUUUCACUUGAUACUUGUGAUUGUUUCCAAAUUUGACUACUCCUGCAUUUUCCAAGCUUCGAUAAUCUUGCAAGUUUUCCUUCCUUCCAGUCAUGUGACGAGAGCAACCACUAUCAAUAUACCAUUUCGCAUCAUAUUGCUCGUCACAUAUCACCUGCAUUUAUUGAAAAAUUUUAUGAACCCAAGACUUAUUGGGUCCUCCAUUAGUAUUUUUGAGCAAAUGCUUUGAAUUUAAAAACCGAGUUUUCACUUUGUCUGUGACACUAUCAAUUAUAUCAACAUCACCAGAUCGAUAUAUUGAAAUAUAGUUGUUCAACAAUUUUGGAUUUUCAUUGAGUUUCAUCACAUCUUUCACAACAUUCGCAACUUUGAUAACUGGUUUCCAUUUUUGUACUGGAACUUGCGAAUUUAAGAUGAUGAACUACCAGUGGAAGAGUUAUUUGCAAACUUGUCAAAUGAAUUUUUUAUUUGUUGCUCUGAAAACUUCCCACUUUGAUAUUGUCUUCCUUUCCCUUCAAGCCAACGAUUGAUCAUACCUACCACAUAUUUUCCUUUUGUAUAUGAAACUUUGGUUGGGUUUGAGACUGAUGGAUUUGGAAAAUUUGGUUGUUUAGGAGAAAACUUCAUUUUUGUUUGAGUUGUGACAUUCAAAGAUGAUGAAUCAUUCAUGAAUUUGCCAACUUUUUGAAACUUUUGAUUUUUCACAAAUUUUUGUGAAUUCUCAAAUUUUCGAUUGUUGUCAUAUUUGAGAACAAGUUUAUCAUUAUUUUUCAUUGGAAUCUUGUCAACAGAAUAUAUUGGUUUAUGAAAACUUGUAUCCUUUUGUUUAUUUAUCAUUGGACAUAACUUGCCAAAAAUUCCUUUUCAUGCUUUUCUUUUUGACAAAUUAUUUUCUGUUGAAUAAUUUCCAACCAUCAAUUUAAAUUCAUGAGAAUUUAAUUUCACUUCAACCUUUGGUUUUUCAACUUUUUCAAAAAUUUUGUUUGCUUUUUCACCUUUAAUUACCCAUUUUUAUGAUGAGUUUUGUCUAUGAAGUACAUAAGGAUUUUGAGUUAAAUUGUUUUCUUCUGUGUUUUGAUUUGCGAAAAAACCUUCAAUAGUUGACCUUUGAUUAUCUUUUUCAACCAUUUUGUUGAAUUCAGGGUGAAUUUUCUCCGCAUUUCCAGUAGUAACAAAAACUUAAUUUGGAAAAAUGGUGUUAUCAGUGCAUACAAAAUUUGGAUAUACCACAGUGUUGGUUUCCAAAUAAUGUGCUCCUUUGUCAUUUAAAAUUUUGUCAAAUUCUUUUGUAUUUUCAAACACUUGAUCAACCACAACUCGUGGAGGUAUUUCAUGUGAAUCUUUCACAUCUUCUUUGUUUUCAUCAGUGUCAUCAGAUUUCCAGCUUUCAACUUCCACAUUAUCAAAAUUACAAUGUUACGAAGUAGAGGGUUUUUCAAUGUCAUCUUUGACCAUCGAAUCAACUAUAAUUUCUUUACCUUUGAUCUUAGAUGUGAUAUUAAUGAUUGACAAUUGAGAACAAUCAACCUCUUCUUCCUCUUCAAUCUCACUGAUUUCACUCACAUUAUCUGAAUUGUCAUCAAUAUCAGCAUAAUUGUGUUGAGAAUCAAGAUUUGAGGUUUCAGUUUUCUUUAAGAUUUUCACUUGUUCAUUCUUUGUCAGACUUUCAUUGACAAUACUUACCAACUCAUCAGCAUUCAAAAAUUCAUCAAUUUUGAUAAUACCAUAUGUGAAUCUAUCAUCAAUUAUUUUGUCAAAUUGAGCAAUUGUGUUUUCACAAUCAUAAGACACAACAUCAACUUUUUCAGGAUCAUAUUCAAGAAAAGGUAAAAGUUUCCUAUGUUGUUCUUUGCUAAUUUUAGAUGAAUGAUGUAAAGCAGUUAAUUUUGCAUACAAAUGCUUAGCAGAAUUACAAUAUAUAUUUUUUUUGUGCUAGCGACAACCUAACUUCAUUUCAAAGAUUGUCCCUAUCACAAUUUACAUUUUUGAUUUUCAAUUCAAGUUUGUCUACUCUGCUACGUUUUAUUUCUAACUCUCUUCGUGUAUCAACUAGUUACAUAUUUAAAGUUUGAGCUUCAGUACUAGCAGACACAAUAACAGAAUCAAAAUAAGGAACAGUAUCAUCAAAAGAAGUAAUUUAUGUAUGAUAAGCAGAUAAAGGAAUAUUGAAAGAUUCAAGAAUAGCACGUACCUUGGUGGUCAUUGGUGAUUUGUCUGUGGAUUUGGAUACAAAGCACCUUCCUGAAACAGUCUCUUCGUAAUCUUCUUCAAAACUUGCGAACAUUGCUCCAUGAGUUGGAUGCCUCAUUUCUUCGUCAUCGGAUCCUGAAGACCAUAUCUGAUAUGUUCCACUUUCUUCCUCAUCAGACUCACCCUUUGCAAAAAGUGACAUUCCUUUUGUCUUCGCACGCAACUCUUCAAUCUUUUCUAAAUAGUAAGCUUCAUCUUUCACUUUGUUCUUUUACUCUUUUUUCUUUCACAACAUGCAAUCAGCUGCGAAGUGAUUCACACCAUUGCAGUAAUAACAAUAGAUUCCAGAAUCACCUUUCAGUUUCUUCAUAUCUUUAUCAUCUUUUUUGCUUUUCAUCAACUUUUUCCAUUUUCUGCUUCUCCUCUCCUCUAGCUUUUGAGACUCCACUCUUCGCAUCAUUUGCCUUUCCUUUUGGAUUAAAAGGCUUUUUGAAAAACUUCUUAACUCUGUUGUUUGAGUAGAAUUCCACAGCUUCAUCAUCUGAGUUCAUUAAGAAGCCUUCAUUGUCUGAACCAUCUAUUUCACUAAUUUCAACUUCUAAUACCUUUGAAACAAGAGCCAAAGGUCCUCCUAUACUUUGUUUUGAUUCUUCAUACAUAUCUGAAACUUCACUUUCAUGUGUUUUCAGCUGAUUGUAGAGAUCAUUCAAGCUAGUUGUAUCAAAACUCUGUUGAUUCUUAAUCAUCAUACUCACACUUCACCAUUCCAUGCGAAGGCCCAUGAUGAAAGUUAAAUUGAACUCCAUGAGAGACCUAGUGAUUCCAUACCUAUUGCAGUGAAACACAAGCUCAUUCAGAUGAUCAUAGUAAUUUUCAAGAGUUUCAACAUCCUUUUGUCUGAAUUCCUUCAGUUCAACUAGACAUUGCUUCACAUAGUUGAUCUUCGUCUUUUCGCUACCUUGAUACUUCUCUUUUAGAGUGUUCCAAAUCUCCUUGGCUGUUUUACAACUACGGAUGUAAUUAUAAACCACAGGAGGAAGAGCACCUCUUAGUUCCCUCAUGCAUCUCUUUUCAUUCUUCUUCAGACGGUUUUGUUGUUCAGCAACUUCAGCAGAAGUAAUAGACGGUCCAAUUGGUUGAACAUUAGCAGGAGCUUGCACUGUUCCAUCAAUACAAUUCCAAAUUUCUUCAUCAAUUCCAUUUAAGUAAUCCUCCAUUCUAUAAGCCCACUGAUCAUAGUAUUCAGGGAUUAACGUCGGAAUUUUGGUUGAGGAACCAAGCAAGUGAGAGAAAGAAGUCAUUGUAUUCAUGUUGAAGUUCGUCAUUGAUGAACACAGAAAUUUUUAGAAAGCUUGAAGAACUUGAUGAAUUUCAGAAUUGAUCAACUGAAUUGAUCAAAAAUUGCUAAUCAAUCACUCGACUAAACAAUUCAAAGGCAGAAUCAAUUCAAAUCUGAAGAUCAAAUAUGAUUUUCAAAACCAAAAUGCGCGGAAAAUUUUGAGUAAAGUUACUACUCAAAAAGCAAAUGAUUUUAACACGAAAAUCAGAUCGAUGCAGUUUGAAUCUUACUCUGAUACCAAUUGAUGAAAAUUGUUAUCGAGAUUAUGAAAGCAAUUAAGAUUGAAUCAAUGAAAAGUAAGAACACAAAGAGUAAAUAUUAAUCAGAUCUUAUAUUGAUGAAGAGUGAUUACAAUACUUUUAAGCAUAAAGAAUACUCGAGAGCAAAAGUCCUUUCUACUUCUAUCCUCAGUCCCUAUUUAUAGGAAACCUGAGUGUACAAAAAAUAUACUAAGUCUAUUACAAUACGCUUCACAUAAAACUGACUUAGUAAAAUAACUAAAAAUGCGAAACUAAACAAACAAACAUUUCGACUUUUACAAUUCAACCUCUACAGUAUGUGUAAGAUUCAGUAGUGCCUCAAUACUUGCGAAGGUGUUAGUCGGGUAAUGAUCAGUUAUAUUCUCAGCAGUGACAAUCCAGAGUUUCUAGUGGAGUAGCUAGUGGUCGGUAAGGAAGUGGGUUAGAGAUGUUCACCCUAACCGCAGGCUUUCGGGAUGCAGUCAUUAAAACAAGUACAGUUAAGGAUUGAAGGGUGCUCGGUUAGUUAGCAAGAAUGGUUCGGAUCUGGUAAAAGUUAGCUGGAGCGCCAGCAGAGAUAAACGUUGGCGGGCAACAGAUUGCCCUUUUAAUGGAAGAAGGUUGGGGAAUCCUUUCGACUAGUGAUUCGUAAGGAGUUAGCCGAAUCCAAGUGGGGGAGAACCCUCCGAGUAUACAAGGAAAAGAGCACGUAGACCCAGAAUGAGUACGCGACCUCAGAGAAGAAAAGAUAGUAGUGCAGUGAUUGAUGGAUUGAGAAGUUCAGAAUUGGGAGUUUGAGGAACUUCCCAACAGUUAGUUCAUGUAAUCGAGAAGGUUAGAAGCUGGUUGGGAAUGCAGGAUUGGAGGACCGCCUGUAGGGCUCUAGUUAGUCGGAAUGAGGAUCUUGAGAACGGUUAGCAAGAGAUGCUUUUGUGUUAGUAGCCAGUGGUAGAGACAGAAUGCAGGGUUGUGUAGAUUUAAGAGUUAGGAGUUUGGAAACUUCCCAACAAUAGUUUCAUGUAGCCGUAUUAGUAGAUGGUUGGUUUGGGAACCAAGCCGAAGAAUUCCUCAACAAAACGCUAAGUAUAUCAAGGAUAUAAGAUGUCAAGGUUUUGAUGCAAUAUUCAAUGAUUGAGGGCUGGUUUUGAGAAAUCAGGAUGAGGAAUUACUAGCAGGACUAGGGAUAGUCAGGAUGUCCUCAACUAUUAGUGUAGUAUUGUAAGUCUACGGGGGUAGCCGUAACAUUCACUAGCAGUCAGAUAGUAGUAGUAGUGUUGUAAGUCUGCAGGGGUAGUUGUAGCACUCACUAGCAGUCAGAUAGUAGUACAGUGUUGUAAGUCUGCGGGAGUAGCCGUAGCAUUCACUAGCAGUCAGAUAGUAGUAGUAGUGUUGUAAGUCUGCAGGGGUAGUUGUAGCACUCACUAGCAGUCAGAUAGUAGUACAGUGUUGUAAGUCUGCGGGAGUAGCCGUAGCAUUCACUAGCAGUCAGAUAGUAGUAUAGUGUUGUAAGUCUACGGAUGUAGCCGUAGCAUUCGUCAGGUUAGUAGAUAGCAUGAGCGUGCUGUUUGGACGCAGGGGAAACAGUAGUACCCAUUAGUUCGGGUGCAUCAGUGAAGAUAUGGGAAUCCACGGGUUAGAUUUUAGAUUUCCCAAAUGAUUCAGUUAUGGUUAAGCCAGCGUGAUAAGAUAUUAAAUAAACUUGAAGAUCGAUUAGAUCUUUGUAACAGGUAGUGAGAAGAACAUAAAACAAUAAAUAAGACAAGAUUGAAUCACAAUGUGUCGAAUGAUUAAUUCAAACAAUCCUCAGCAGAGCUCGACUAAGAACUUCCGCUGUAGAGGAUUUAGGGUUACAAGAACGAUAAUUAAAACUUUUGAAUAAUUCUCUGAUCUAUCGUUACUAUCGUUUUUCUAAGAUGCAUGCAAGCACCUAUAUUUAUAAUAAACCCUACUAUACUCACGGAUGGACAGGCCCAUACCGGAGAUACAAAAACAGAAUAGCUAACAAGCCCAAUAGACGCAACACUUAAUACAAAACACGACCCAACAAUCUCCCCCUUUGCGUCAAAUUGGAGCGAGACUACUUCUUCUUCGGGCCAGCAGCGGGUGUCUUCUUUACAGUAUCAAACAAAUGUGUGAUAAGAGCGAGAAUAGUCUGUCUGAACCGAAUGUACCAUUGUAUUAUGUCAUCGAAGUACUUGACAUCAUCCGCUGAGUUUUGCUUGCAUCUGUGGAUGAUCCCCAAAACAUGCUCUAAGCAAGCAGUAGUGUACAGAUGUUUGUCAGCCAAGGCAAAAAGACAUUUCUGUCCUUCGUUCCUGGUGAACAUGACUGAAUUCCUUCUUGAGUCAAUUCUACCCAUCUGCAUUUGGUUCAGAUCACUGGCAGAGCCAACAGGAGAUAUUUUUGGUUUCUUCUUAAAUACGCUUGCUAUCUCCUGAUCCAUCAGCGCAACUUCCAUGAUGUAGCACACCAGCAUCCUCUUGAGAUGGUCGAUGAUCGGACCAUAUUCAGCUUCGUUGGUGAGAAGGAUGUUGUGCAAGAUUAUCCAAUCAUGGGGAUUGAGGUUCGGAAGAUCUGCAAGAGAAAUGGCAUGUUCGGUUUUGGCAGAUCCCCGAAGUACCUUGAACCGAAUGUUAAUGAAGUUCCCUUCAGUAUACGGCUUCAAGACCCGAACGUUGAUAAUCUUCUGAGCGCUCCAAGUCUGAUACUGAGGUUGAGCAGCCUUCAGAUAGAAAUCGAUUAAGUCCCGAUCAACCUGUGGAUGAGGAUGAGGGAACUCUGCAACGUUGGAGAAGGCAUGAAAGAUGAACGCCUUUCGGGUCAGUGGCAUGUCAAACUGAGAGUCGAUAGUAUUGGAACAAUCAAAAGAGAUUACAGGUUCCAGCCACAAGAUACUCGGUGUGGCGAUGGCUUCUUUUAUCAUCCUCUUGAGGGUCCAAGUAGGAAAAAUAGUUUUCCUACUCUCAAGAAGGUCGUGGGCUUCCUUCUGUUUUCGUUCAGCUUCUUCAGCCUCUUUUGCCACACGAGCACUGACAUCAGCCUCAUUGCGUCGACUUCUACGCUUCAACAAGUCGACAAUUGUUUCUUUGUCUUCUUCCUCUUAUUCCUCAGCAAUAUUUUUGCCUUUGUCUUUCACACCCGAACCGGAGGCUUGGCCUACUGGAGGAGGUUCGGUAGUCUGAGUUGCCUUUGAGGAAUGAGGUGGUUAGGGUACUGACUCCUUCUCUCUCCCUUGUUUCGGAAUGGACACGAAAUCAAGUAGCCCUUCGAUUUUGCUUAAUAGGGCAAGGGCGGGAGCGAGCUUUUCUGCAAGGGUACGCCUCACAGAAUAGUUAAGGAUAGGAUCAUGUGCUUCAAGGAUGUUUGAGAUGGCUGAGUGGACAUCUGAAACACACGUCUUUAUCACCUCCUUUUCGGACUGAAGAGAGUCAAUCUCCUGUUGAGAAUGGGAGAGUUGAACACUCUUGACCUUCAGAGCAGUGGUCUUCUUGGUAGGAACAUCAAUAAUAGAGUUCUCAGCAACCAAAUCUUCUUGGAGUUUCGAGAGACGCUCGUCUAUGGUUGUUCGAAAGGCUGAGUUGUCGUCGGAAAGCGUUUGACGAAAUGAAGCGAAGGACUUCAACUCAGUUCAGACAGACGUUGUCAACUGUUGAACAAUUGGUUCCAACGUACUCUUUGCAGCAUUUGCACUCUCCUGUAAAGAUUAUAUUAGGUCAGAGGCAUCAGAAAAUAGUUUAUCGACUUUUUCGGUCGCAGCCUGACAGGCUUUUGUUGAGGCGUCGAUGGUGCAGGUUGCAGAAGCAAUGGAAUCUUGUUGAGCCUUAGAGAAAGCGUCAACAAUCUUCUGAACUGCAUCUUCAGAAAGGGAUGACUGAGAAGUGGAAGAGGAGGCAAUGAGCAAAUCAACUUUGUCAUGGAGCUCCUUAAGAUGUCGUUUUGUAACGGGAACAUCGUCAUUGUCAUCACUCUGUAUUUGAAACGGACUAUAGUAGACCGAGUCAAACGUCAUAUUUUCCCCGCCAAGGAAAGGUUCUUCAUUCUCUGAAGCAUGACCAGGAGAAGGUGGUGGUGGUGAAGCUGGUGGAGCUGAAGUAUGGGUAGGUUCAGGUUGGGUUGUUUCGGGUAUAGGUGUAGGUUCGGAUGCUUUUGUGGUUUCGGGUGCUGGGGUGGUUUCGGGUGCAUCAGUAUGAACCCCCGUAUCAGAUACGUUGGCUCUAACAUCUGCAGUGGAUAUUAUGGUUGCUUCGGUAAAUAUUGGUGUUGGUAUGGGGAUGGAAGUGGGUGGUAUUGAAGUAGUGGAAGUUAUGGGGGGAAUAGAAAUAGGAAUGGUUCUAGGUGGAGAAUUAAUGGGAGAAGUAGAGACAUGAACCUCUGGGGUAGGAGAUCUGGGUGGAGUGUUGCCUCGUGGAGAAUCGUCAGAAUCCGAACUCUCACCCUCAGACUCGCUUGAGGAGGAAGCGAUGAUCAGCUUUCGCUUGGGCUGAGUUUUUCCGCGCUUUGGCUGCGGAGACUGAGCAGCCUUGGUUGGUUUCCUCUUCUUUGGAGAAGGGCCUUUAGCCCCUUUCGCCACCUGUUUCCCUUUAUCAGCCUUCUUGCCUCUUGGAGCAGGCUUGUCGGCGUCAUGAAUAGACUUCAACAUCUCCGGAGUGAGAUCCCUCGGACCAGAACGCUUGAAUCCUUUGUACGUCUGGAUAAUCCGGCUAUCAGUAGGAACAUCUCCAUACAUAGUUUCCGGAAUUGAACCGUUGAAUGGAAACUUGGAAGCGUCCGAGACAAUGAUCUUCGUGGUAUGGAAUGUACCAAUCGAAGACAUUGGAGCACCAGCGACAAUGGGGACGUGGUACUUGUCCAUCACCCAUUUCGUGACCAAAGUCCAGAACCUAGCGUAAGAAAUUUCAGAAUGCCUGGAUGUAGAGGAGAGACUCUGGAUGAGUUGUUGCCACAGAACAGACCCAUAAUCCAUGUUGAUGCCAUUGUAGACACGAUACAUUAUUAACAAAAAUAACCGACUGGGACCAUCAGAUCCAGCGCUUCUUUUAGAUAACCCUUUGAAUAGAACAGUGAACAUCCCGUUCCACUGUGGCGGUAGGCACGACUUCUUGAACUUGGCGACUGAAGUAAGCACCUCCGUAUAACCCAUGUUGUAAAACAUGUUGAAAAAAUGCCCCAUUGGAAUCGUUUCAGGGUUAACCCUCGAGGAAUCAGGUUCAAUCCCUAACAACGAGCAAAAUCUUUGCUUUGAAAUCGAGGCCUUGUGUUGAAAAAUAUCAAAGAAGAUUCUGUCAACGACCUUGUCGUAGUGAGCAGUCGCAAAGAUCUGCGACAAGAACUCCAUCGGAACGGAUUCAACUCUUGUAAGUGCAGGAGCAAUCGGCGAAAACUUCAAACACUCGAUAAUGGGGAACAUGAAGACGUCGUAAACAUGAGGGGAUAAAUCGAUGAUUAGGCUUUGUUGUGGGUGAAUGGGCAGUAUGUGGGAUGUUGCGUGAACAGAAGAUGAAUCUGCCAUUGCUUGAAGAGAUGUUGCGUGAAGGUAUUAAGGAAUUUUUGCUCUCUGGGAAUUUUAAUUGCGGUAAAGAGGUAAAUGAAGGAUUAUGUGGCCUUUUAUACUGGGGAUUGAAGAGAGAGAACGAUCUUCCCAAAUCUUCAAUUGGAAAUCGAAGAGUUUUACGAUGUUGACUGACGCGUGACAGUUGGGGUAGCCGAUGAUCACGCAUGAGAGAGAGUGUCAGAUCCCAAAUAACACGCCUCCCAUCAAGCGCCGUUUGGAUAUGAACCAUUUCAGAUUCACACGCGCCCUUUCUGCGCCAUUUGGAGAUGAGAUGGUUCCAAUUCGCACGCUUUCCCUUUUGCGCCGUUUGAAAUCAAAUCGAUUAGACUCCCGCCUGAGUCAGCAUGUCUUCAUCUUAUCCCUUUAAAUUGUAACGGCAUCUUUUGAAAAAUACCGCCACGUGGAUUAAAAUCAACCACAACCUUUAAUCGACUGCCAAUCCAAGUAAAAUGCCUUGUAAUUAAUAGAACCUGAAUUUUGGAAAAUCAAAGAUUUUCGUGCUUAGGGUGUAAAAGAAAAGAAAUAAAGCAAAAUUUUUGGGAAAAUAUGUGAUGUCAAUUAAGACACGAAACAAAUGAUCCCGGGCACGAAUCUCUUCCUUCAAAGUCAAGAGAGACCUUAAAGUGUUUGUGUGGUUUCCCGUUGAAUAACGAUCAAACACUUAUUAAGAAGUGUUGAAAGGCUUCUUUUAAUUAGGCUUAUUAGGGUGGCUUUCGCUUCGAUUCAACAUUCCUAAUCUUGAUAUAAGAUAGAAAGUGAACGAAGUACUUGUGAGANGAACAAGUAGGAAUAAUUUAAACUGGCUGGGAAUAAAAAAUCUCGAAAAAAAAUUAAAACCGGAUCCCAAGGGAAGAAAUUUUAUGGAUUGUAACAGUUUCAUAGGAAUCACACAAAAGAAAAAACUUGAGAUAGCAUUAAGAUACAUCCGUCAAUUCAAUGGUGAAAACUAGAGCAAAUUAAUUGUCCACCGUCAAUUCGUAUUGGGUAUUGAAUUUUGGGUUUCACUUAGCUCGUAGUGGCACGAAACUAAGAUCAUGAACACAGUUAUUGUGUAACCAUAAACCUCAGUGGUAAUUUCUGAGAGUCUCAAGGGUUACGUUUGUGAAACGAGUGUGAUGGAGAAAUGAAAUGUAGAUGGUGUAAGAAAUCAAAGUACCUCUGCUGCGAAAAAUAGGACCAAGCAGAAAACUCUUAUCUCAUGUGAGAAGAGAGUUAGGUAGCUCAUGAUUAGAAUAAAUAAGAAAGCCUAAUUGGGAAGACAAGGUUUGUUUAUACCAAGUCAGUAAGGCUGAUUAUUCAGAAUCAGGUGAGGCUUUGGACACAUACAGCAGCAUGCUUCUAGGGACACUUAGCUAAUUUAAUAAUUUCCCCAUAAACGAACACACACAUAAAAUUAAAGCCAAAAAGAAAAUAAAGAACAAAAUAUUUUUGGAGUUUUUGAAUUUAUAAAAAAAUAUUUUUGGAAUUUUAAAUAAAAGAUGAAAUAAAAAAAAUAAGACACAAGAUAAAAAAAAUAUUUGGAACCGAACCCGAGCGUUCGGUUUAUUUCGGUUGAAAAAAAAACUUUGGAACCGAACCCGAGCGUUCGGUCUAUUUCGGGUAAGAAAAAUUUUGGAACCGAACCCGAACGUUCGGUAUAUUUCGGUUGCCAAAGAAAAUAGGUUUUAAAAAGAGAAUAACUUUGACAAUAAGAUAAAUGCAUUUGGAACAAUUAUACAUAAGAUCUACAACCAAGAAAACUACCUUUGAUUGAUGAGCGAAAAGCAGAUUAUUCAACCGAACCCGAGCGUUCGGUUCAUUUCGGUACAUUAGUACAAGACCCGAACCCGAACGUUCGGUCUAUUUCGCUUCUCACUUUUGAGUUUGAGAGGUAAUGUUUGGUACUGACUCCGAUUCCAUCAUACCUAGCCCUUGUAGAAUUUUGUUGAACGAUGCUUCAGGAAGAGCUUUGGUGAAGAUGUCAGCCAGUUGAUCAGUGGUUCGAACAAAAUGAAUUUCGACGUUCCCAUCUUCCACAUGAUCUUUAAUGAAGUGAUACCUCAGUGCUAUGUGCUUAGUCUUCGAGUGUUGCACUGGGUUAUGACAGAUCCUAAUUGCACUUUCUGAGUCGCAAUAUAGUGGGAUCUUUUUCAUAUUGAGUCCAUAAUCCCGGAGUUGACUUUGGAUCCAAAUCACUUGAGAAGUACAGGAGGCAGCUGCAAUGUAUUCCGCUUCAGCUGUAGAUAAAGACACACAGGUUUGUUUCUUUGAUUGCCAACUAACUAACUUCCCGUCUAGGAAUUGGCAGCCUCCCGUGGUGCUUUUCCUGUCUAGUCCACAACCUCCAAGGUCUGCAUCUGAGUAGGCUUGAACGAAGAAGCCUGAGUUGGAUGGAUACCAUAGGCCUAAAGAGGUAGUUCGCUUGAGAUAACGGAGUAUGUUCUUCACUGCAAGCAUAUGAGGUUCACGCGGAUUCGCCUGAAAUCUAGCACAGUAACAAACAGAGAACAUGAUAUCAGGCCUGCUAGCAGUAAGAUACAUCAGUGAACCGAUCAUCUGGCGAUAUAGCGUAAUAUCAACUGCUGGCUUAUCCAAUGAUGGAGUAAGCUUGGUGCCGAACGCCAUUGGAACUUUAACCUUUGAAUCUCCCAUCAUGCCAAAUUUUGCAAGGAGAGUCUUCGUGUAAGCUUCCUGAUUAAUAAAGAUGCCUUCGGGUCCCUGUCUAAUAUUUAAACCAAGGAAAAAGUUAAUUGGACCCAUUGAGCUCAUUUCAAAUUUAGUCUCCAUCAGCUUUCUGAAUUCAGCCGUUAAGCUAGGAUUCGUUGAGCCAAAGAUGAUAUCAUCGACAUAAAUUUGAACAAUCAUAAGGUGGUUACCUUCCUUCUUACGAAAGAAGGUUGGGUCAACCGAACCUUGUUUGAAUUUGGACAUCUUUAAAAACUUGGUUAGCGUUUCAUACCAGGCCCUCGGAGCUUGUUUCAGUCCAUAUACGGCUUUGUCCAAAAUGUAACAGUGAUUGGGGUACCUUUCAUUGACAAAUCCAGGAGGUUGCUCCACGUACACGGUUUCUUCAAGUUCUCCAUUUAGAAAUGCGCACUUGACAUCCAUUUGGUAGACCUCAAAGUUUUUGUGUGCAGCAUAGGCAAGAAAUAUUCUAACGGAUUCCAGCCUAGCUACAGGAGCGAAAGUUUCUUCAUAGUCGAUUCCUUCCUCCUGACAGUAUCCUUUCACUACCAGACGGGCUUUGUUUCGUAUCACGUUGCCUUCCUUGUCCAUCUUAUUUCUGAAGACCCAUUUGAGACCAACAACUGAGGCAUCUUGAGGAGUUGGAAUGAGACGCCAAACUUUAUUCCUUUCGAAUUCAUUUAGUUCAUCUUGCAUAGCUUGAACCCAAUCGGAGUGAUCAAGAGCAGUGUUAACUGUCUUUGGUUCAACUUUUGAGACGAAGGAGUUAAACAUACAGAAUUCUACUUUUGAAAAUAAGGAAGUUUGUUUUGCCUUUAGUUGUGAUCGGGUCAGGACCUUUUCAGAGACAUUACCGACAACCUGAGAAACAGGAUGAUCUCUGGUCCAUUUGACAAGAGGAGGGUAAUUUGGAUCAUAAGAUGGAUCCAAUUCAGCGUUUACCAUCUCUUCUAGUUCAGAUUGACUAUCAUAGUCGUAAGACAUAUCUGCAUUCUCCCCCUCGACAGAUAAGCUUUCAGGUGUGUCUUGAGUUUCUGGAGCUAUAGGAGUUUCGUGCGGUGUUGAGCUUUCGGGUACCACUGGACUUUCGGGUGCAGAUGAGCUUUCGGGAGCAGCUGGAGAAUAGUUCUCCCCCUCAACAUGUGAGCUCGCCUGUGAUGACGAAGAUGUGCCCUCCCCCUCAACUGAAGUAUCGUGCUGUGGAGGGUCGUCAGAACUUGAUCCUCCUUCAUUCAUUCUCUUUGCAGUAUCUUCGAUGAGUUGCUUCAGAUGAUCUACUUUGUUGUCUGCUGCACUCGCUUCUGAGAGAGUUGCCUUCUCUGGUUCAUCAAAUAACUCGACGAACUUCUCAAAUAGGUUUGCAAUCGAGGCUGUGACUUGGCCUGUGUGAGAAAAGAUUUCUCCAACUGUGUCUUCUUUGGCCUUAAGCUUUUUGACAUAGCUAUCAUCAAAAGUCACAUAAUAGGUUUCUUCUAUUUUCCUCGAGCGCUUGUUUAAUACCCUGUAGGCUUUAGAAGUGAGAGAAUAGCCCAGAAAUAUCCCUUCAUCGGCUUUGACAUCGAACUUGUUACGAUGUUCUUUAGAAUUGAAGAUGAAGCACCGUGAGCCGAAUACAUGGAAAAAUUUGACAUUUGGCUUCCUGUUGUUGAUGAUCUCAUAAGGAGUGAGAGUGAAUCGCUUAUUGAGAUAUGACCUGUUCUGCGUAAAACAAGCAGCAGCAAUAGCAUCAGCCCAAAAAUAUAAAGGUAAAGAAGCAAAACUUAGCAUGCUUCGGGCCGCCUCACACAAAGAUCGGUUUCGUCUUUCGACAAUCCCGUUUUGUUGAGGAGUGUAGGGAGCUGAGAAGUUAUGACUGGUUCCUUUGUCGGCUAAGAAUUCUUCGAAUUCUUUAUUUUUGAACUCUAGACCAUUAUCGCUCCUGAUGUUGCGAACGACUUUCUUUAGCUGUACUUCAAUCUGCUUGAUAAACGUCUUCAGCUUGAGAGUCGCUUCAGAUUUGUGCUUCAGAAAGAACACCCAUGUAAAACGCGAGAAAUCAUCAACGAUGACAAGAAUAUACUUGCUACCGCCGAUGCUUUCGAUAGAUGAUGGACCACACAAGUCAAUGUGAAUUAACUCUAAUGGUUCAACAACUUUAGUGUUUACAAUCGAUGGGUGACUUUGACGACUCUGCUUCCCCAUUUCACACGCAGCACAUAAAUGUUCUCGAUCGAAUUUGAGCAAUGGAAGACCUCGAACAUGACCACCUGUGACAAGUUUGUUGAUAUCCUUGAAGUUGAGAUGAGAGAGCCUUCGGUGCCACAGCCAGCUUUCGUUAGAUUGUGCUUUGGAUAACAGGCAGAUAGCUGGAUUCCCUUUGAUGGGUUUGAGGUUCAGGGGAAACAUUUCGCCUUUGCGCUCCGAUUUGAGAAUGACUCUUUUCGUUUUCUUCUCAAUUAUUUCCGAACCCUCAUCAUCGAAUGAAACCUUGAGACCGGUACCUCCAACAAGCUGAGAUACACUGAUGAGGUUGUGCUGUAGUCCUUCAACGUAUGCAACCUUCCUAAUCGUAAAAUCACCAUUUGUAAUCAUUCCAUAGCCUUUUAUGGUGCCGAAGGAGUUGUUCCCGAACUUGACAUUUCCACCGUUUGAAAGAGACCGAAACUCCCUCAGCUCUUCCUUCCUUCCUGUCAUGUGACGUGAGCAGCCACUGUCAAUGUACCAUUCUUCGUCAAACUGCUCGUCACUAAUAACCUGCAAAAAUUAAGCAGAUUUAGGAACCCAAAGUUUCUUGGGUCCACGUGAGCCUUUCACAGGAACAGGAAUAGUAAGAGAGAUGUCAACAAGAUAUGUUCUUUUUAUUAACGUUGUUUCAUCUUUCUUUUUAAUGGUGAAAACCUUAAUUUUAUUGUGAUUUGUUUCUUUCGGUUUGGAUUCUGGUUUAGGUAUUUGGACUCUGGGAUUAUUUUGAUUUGUUUCAACUGAUGAAAACUUUGAUUUUCCUUUCAUAUCUGUUGAUGAUUUAGGUUUUUGAGUGCGAACAGAGUUGAAUUUAGAAAGAGGUUGAGAGGAAUUAGAAGAAUUAGAAGAAGAAGAACGAGAGAAGUUAGACUGAGAUGAGUUCUUGGCUUGAGAUUCUAAGUGACCCUUUUGUUUUUGAUCAUUAGUGGGACCGAACCUAGAUCUUUGGUCUCUUUUGCUCUCGGAACCGAACCUCUGCUUUCGGUAGAUAGUGUUUUCUGAACCGAACCUUUGCUUUCGGUUGUCAAAUUUUUCAGAACCGAACGUAUCCUUUCGGUUGUUUUGACCUUCAUAACCGAACCUCUCUCUUCGGUUGUUAUGACUUUCUUGUGACCUAACAGUGUUUUUCUCUGACUUUAAAUUUCUGUCAUGAUAAGAGAAAUGGGCAUUUUGAGAUUGCCAGAACUGUUUUCUUUCAGAGAGAUUCUUCUUGUAUCUCUGAUUCCUUUGCUGUUUCUGAUUUCUCACCUGCUUCGGCUGACGAUGGAUAUUCGCUUUUUGUUUUUGCUUUCUGUCAGCUGAUUCACUUUGAACUGAUGAUGUGUCGCUUGAAGGAGUGACUUCUUUUGCAGAAACUCCUUUUUCUUCAGGAACAUCUUUUGUACCACUAGUACUUGGCACGUCGAAGCUAUCAGGCUUGUUCAAAGGCUCUGGCACAUAUCUGCCUUUGGUUUUCCAUGAAGUCCUUUCUGACAGACCAACUGUUUCGUCAGCAUUGUCGAUAGGAGCAGACCAGAAGAACUCAUCACAACCAUCAGCAUUAUCUUCGUUUACAAUAGCUGUGAGUUCGGCUGUCUGAUGUUCUGUUACGCCUGUGACUUUAUACACCUGAUUUGGAGUUGUUCUCACUUUUUGGUAUACAACAGCCUUUUCUUCAAGGAUCGGGGACUUUUGUUGGGACAGACGAGCAAACUCCACAGAAUUUUCUGAAAUAAGAUUUUUGUGGUUUUUGGGUUCGCUCUUGACAAACUCUGAACAGUCAACUGUGUCUUCAACAGAAAUUUCACUCAUAUCAUCGUCCUCAUUGAGCUCAGAUGCAUUUUCAACAUCAAUUUUAUUUUCUGAGCUCAGGUUGGCAUUCAAUGAGUCAAACUUUUGUAUGGUUUCGGUUCUUAGUUUUAGUUUAUCAUUUUCAUCCAAAAGAUUUUUCAGCAUGUCUUUAUGGUCCUUGGACUUUAUGAAAGAUUCGAUUUUGUCUAGACCAUACAUAUAUGUCGGAUUAACAUCCUCAGACGAAACAACACUUUCACAGUUAUAUGCUUCAGCGUCAAUUUCAUCCUCCUUAAACUCAAGGAAGGGCAAAAUCAUGCGAUGAAUUUUCUGCCCUAUUUCACAGUUUAAAUGAAGUUGAGUGAUAUUAGUGUAAAGACGCUUAGCAAUUAAACAAAAGACAUUUCUCUGUUUUAAAAGUUUUAAAUUGUCUCUUUGUAAAUAAAUGUUUUCAUCCUUGGAUUUGAUUAACUCCGACUCCUUUAGCUCGAUCCACAUCCUUCGUUCCUCACUCUUUGAAGAUACCCUGCUUAUUUGGUCAGUUAGGUUAGAAUUGGUGACUCGUGUUUGAGUUAAACUGCUGUCUAGAUGAGAGAUUCUUGAAUUAACAUUUUUUAAUUCCUUUUCAUAUGAACUUUGUGGGACUUUGAAUGAAACAAAAACUGAUUGUACCUUCUUGAUUAAUUCAUCAAGCUCGUUAAACUGCACGCUGAGAGGUUUUGCUGUGAAGCACAAGUCCUCUCGCUCCUUUGUGUCUUCAUUCCCACCAUCUGUGUUGUAUCCCCUCAUCUGAGACACGUCUGACACCAUUAAACACUUUCCACCGCUCCCUUCACCUUUUGCAACAUAGGCCUUUCCAUGAGAUGGCUUCCUGACUUCAUCGUCCUCAGAAUCGGUUGACCAGACCUCCACGCCACCGAACUCAUCAUCCGCUACCGAACCCUGCACAAUUAAAGCAUUCAUAGAGGGGUUAGCAGUGGAUUUCUUUCUUUUGAUCUCUUCCAGCUUUUUCAACAGCACAGUUUCUUCGUCUUUUUCCUCAUCCUUUUCUGCCAUUUUCUUGAGAACACAAUCUUUGGCAUAGUGGUUCUUUCCUCCACAAUAAUAGCAGCUCACACCCGAAUCUCCUUCAGCUUUCGGUUCCUUCUUUGGUUCUUCUGCCUUCGGUUCUUCCCUAACUUUUUCAGAACUGUAACUUCCCUGCCAAUUUCGGUUCUUAUUUGUAGGGAACCUUUUCUUGAUGAACCUCUUUGGGUUUGAGACCAUCAUUGCAUAGUCUUCAGAGGUAAGGUCAUAAUCCUCUAGGUUGAGGUCUUCAUCUUCCAUCACAGCUUUGCUUUUGGACAGAAGGGCCAAUGAUCCCAAGCUUGAAACCACAUUUUUCUCCUGUAACACAAUCUUUUCUUGAGAUUUCAAAAUCCCUACCAGUUUCGCCAAAGAGUAAGAUUUGAAUUGCUCAUGCGCUUUAACAGUGGACACAACCGCUCUCCACUCAGAUCUGAGACCGUUUAAAAAUGUAACCUUUUGUUCAAUCAACUACCUUUCAAUAUCAUGUUUAAUCAUCUUGCUAAGAAGAUGAUUGAAGCGAUCGAACGUCUGAGUUACAGUUUCUUCAGGACUCUGCUUGAAUUCACCAAAUUCGGACAAAAGCAAGGUUUGAAUGGAAUGCUCGAGAUCUUCGUCCGUAGAAUAUAACUCUCACAGCCUAUCCCAUAUUUCUUUGGCAGUGCUACAUGAACUCACUAGCCUGAAAGUGUCAGAUUGAAGAGCGAAUCUGAUUAGUCUCAAUGCUUUAAUAUUGCACUGAAAUUUAUCUUUUUCGUCUUGAGCAAUAUCUUUAACGUCUUUCAAAGGAUCAUUAUACUCCUUCUGAGUUUUAAUAAUUCUUGAAGUUGCUGAAUGAGCGAAUGGUCCGGAUACGAUUGCUUCCCAGAUGAGAUAUCAAUUGUCCUCAGAUCCGAAGACAUAAUCUUCAAAGUGAUGUGCCCAGACCUCGUAAUCCUGGGUGUAAAGGAUGGGAAUCUUUGUCGUUGAUCCAAUGCUGUUUGAGAUGUUGAUGGGAUUGGAUUGUGACUCGUCCAUGCUUGAUCGAAUAACAUGUUUAAAAGAUCAGACUUGUAAUAUAUUAAAUUAGGGCAACACAAAUAAAUGUUGAGUUCCGUCAAUUAUGGGAUGACGGCUCAAUAAAUAUCAGUAAAUGCGGAAUAACCCUAAUCGCAACCUUUUUUACAAAAAAGAAGUGUAUGAAUUACACAGCCUCCUGCUCUGAUACCAAUUGAUAAGAUAUUAAAUAAACUUGAAGAUUGAUCAGAUCUUUGUAACAGGUAGUGCGAAGAACAUAAAACAAUAAAUAAGACAAGAUUUAAAUCACAAUGUGUCGAAUGAUUAAUUCAAACAAUCCUCAGCAGAGCUCGACUAAGAACUUCCGCUGUAGAGGAUUUAGGGUUAGAAGAACGAUAAUUAAAACUUCUAAAUAAUUCUCUGAUCUAUCGUUACUAUCGUUUUUCUAAGAUGCAUGCAAGCGCCUAUAUUUAUAAUAAACCCUACUAUACUCACGGAUGGAAAGGCCCAUACCGGAGAUACAAAAACGGACUAGCUAACGAGCCCAAUAGACGCAACACUUAAUACAAAACACGACCCAACACGGCGAUUCGACAGUCGGAUCGUCAACUUAGUUAUGAGAUCAGGAUAGCAGUGGAACAUUGGGUUCGUGUAUGUUAAGGGCUACCGUUAGUCUGGGAGCUGUCAUGUUAUUAGUCGUGGAACUGAUGAUGUCAGGAUGUGACGUUUGGACCUGAUCAGUGGAUCGGGAGGUUGUUAGAGCCACAAUGUCAGGAUAACUAGUGGAAACUAGUUCCAGAGAAAGAUUCCGUUCAGAAGUCAUGGGAGCGACUAGGUGAGGAGUCCUUUGACUCCAUAAUUGAGUUGGAACUCGGUGUUGUAGAUAACUGACGAAUGAUUGGAGACCAGGAAGGUCUUCAGGUAUUUUGGGAAGCAGUCAUAUAGGCAUGUUCAGUGUUUAUGCAGUUUACUGUUUCAUGCAGUUCAGUGUUUCAGGCAGUUCAAUGUUUCAGACAGUUUAGUGUUUCAGGCAGUUCAGAGUUUCUGGCAUGUUCAGUGUUUCAUGUAGUUUAGUGUUUCAGGCAGUUCAGUGUUUCAGGCAGUUCAGUGUAUCAGGCAGUUCAGUGUUGCAAGCAGUUCAGUGUUCGGAUAGUUUCAGAGUUAUGGAUAGUAUUAGUAUUUGUGUUGGAAUGCAAGUGAGGGCGGUAUAGUUGGUUGAUUUGGAAAUGGCAAGUCCCUCUCACUAGGAUCAGUUGAGUCUUCUGCCAAGUAUAAGUGAUCUGCGACGGUAAUUAGGUAGGUAGCCUUUCUUUCAGGAAGGGAGACUCAAGUUUUUGGAAAUUGAGUAGUCAGAUGAGAGAUAAGCAGGCUCGUUCCAGCAGCAUCGAUUUAGUAUAGAUGACAGAAUGGAUAGAACAGUUAUAGAUAGUCGAAGUAUCUUCAGGAGUCACUAGGAGCGACUAGGAGAUUGCGAUGGAGUGUAGUGACCGGUGGGAGUCUGGCAACCUAGAUAUUGGCGGAUUAGUUGGACCUGGGUAGUCUCAGUGCAUCCGGUAGGCGGAUGAGGGGCAACAGAAUUUUCAGUAGGAGGAAGUAACGCUAAGGAAAUUAUGGAAAAGAGAAGAAUUCAGUAUGUACCAGUAGUAGUGACCAGCACUGUGAGUGGCUGGAGUGAUGGACAAAAAGUGUUAAAGUCACCAGGGAGGGUGUUGAGGUGUAUUGCAGGUCAGUAGACCAUAGAAAACUUCGAGGACGAUGUUUAGUUUAAGUGGGGCAGAGUUGUAACACCCAAAAUCAGAAAGGACAAGAAAGGAAAGGAAAAACCCUAAGUUAAAGAGUGUUGACUCGGUGAGUCUAAGGAGGAACUCGGCAAGUCGGAGCGGGAUCUGGGUGUAAAGUAAGUGACUGACUCGGCGAGUCGGCAAGUGGACUCGGCGAGUCUGGUCUGGGUUGGGAAACCCUAAUUUUGGCACUUGGUACCCUAUUUAAGCAUCUUUUUCUCUUCCCUAGGGCCCAUUUGCGGCCCCUAUAGUCCAGAACCCGAAACCCUAAGCCUCCAUUGUUGCUCAUUCAAGCUUCGAAGCCAUUUUUGGGUGAUUUGAAGGAAGAAGAAAGAGGGAAAUCAAGGAAGCUUCAAGGAUUGGUCUUAGAUCUGGAGUUUGUGGAACCUUUCUGAGUUAUUGAAGGUACUAAUUCAUUUCCUUCAUUUAGAUCUAUUCUAGUUGUGAGAUUCGGGGCUUUUUGGGGAAGUCUAUGAACCAUUUCGAGUUAGAAGCACAGAUCUGAAGUUGCUACUUCAGAUCUAAGUAUAUCCUGGCCUAGAGAAUCAUAAAGCAUCAGUCUAUGGGUUGAUUGUUAAGCCCCUUUGUCUUAAACCCUAGUUCAUGGUGUAUUUAGCCUAGAUCUCCUUAGCUACAUGUAAAGUUUGGCACUUUACGUAAGGAAUAGGCUUUAGAAGAAUGGAUCUAUAGUUUGGAGUCCAUGCAUGACUCAAAAGCCUCUAUAUAUAUGAAGGACUGAAUAGACUCGGCGAGUAGUAUGAAGAUGGAGAUGAACUCGACGAGUUGGAUGAACAACUCGGUGAGUCUGUUAAAGAUUGCCUCAGACUCGGCGAGUUUGUUCUUGGACUCGGCGAGUCAAGUCGCGAAACCCCAAACACUUCGAGUUAAGACUCGGAUCAGUGAGUUGAGUGGGGACUCAGUGAGUUGGUCAGGUCAGGACUCGGAAAUCGGUAGACUCGGAAAGUUAGGGGCUGACUCGGCGAGUCGAGUCGCGAAUGAAUGGAUUCUGAGCGUAUGAACUCGGCGAGUCAGUAAGCAGACUCGACGAGUAGGGUUGACCAGGACUUUGCCUUUAACCAGAGUUGACUUAGUUGACUUUUAGAGGACUGUCAGACUAAGUGUCAUAUUAAUAUUGGUAGCUCGGAGAGCUAGAGGAGCAGCGGCUCAGAGGAUUGUCGGUUAGCAGCCAAAGGAUUAUCGACAGAGCUCAGCAGUUCAGGUGAGUUUCCUUCCCGUAGGAACGGGUCUACGGCCACAAUGUCGUCCCGAUUAGUUAGCAGUAGUUUUCGGACUUCGGUCCGAUGCAGUAGUUAGUAUGUUUGAUGCCUUCGUGGCUCAGACAGGAUUUCUGUGUUAUGUGUUCUGGGAUACGGUCCGAUGCAGUAUGCAGUAUAUGUAUGUUCAUGGUAGUUGAUAUGUUUAUGUUAUGCUUUGUUCGGUUAGUUUUCGAACUUCGGUCCGAUGCAGGGGGCAUGGCCCCAGUUAGUCUGGACUUCGGUCCGUUGCACGGGGACAAGGUCUCAGUUAGUUAGUCAGAAAUUCGGUCCGAUGCAGGGGACGAGGUCCCAGUUAGUUUCUGGACUUCGGUCCGAUGCAGGGGGCGAGGCCCAAGUUAGUCCGGACUUCGGUCCAAUGUAGGGGACAAGGUCCCAUUCAAUUUCGGGAUUUCGGUCCGAUGCAGGGGCAAGGCCCCAGUUAGUCCGGACCUCGGUUCGAUGUAGUGGGAAAGGCCCGGUAUGUGCUUUAUAUGUUAUUGUAUGGUAUGUGGUAGAUUGGGGGAGUUCACUAAGCUUUGUGCUUACGGUUUUCAGUUUUGGUUUUAGGUACUCAGUUUUCAAAAGAGGAGCUCGGGAAGAUUGCAGUGCACACACGAUAGUCAGUUAGCCUGGGAAUGUUUUAAUUUGAUAAUAAGAUCAUGUUUUGAAUUGAUACUCGGAAACUAUGUUAUGACUUAUGAUACAAUUUAUAUAAAUAUGGUUUUAGUAAUGUUUUAAUAGAAAUUUUUAGCCGUGAUUUUGGGUUCGUUAUAGUUCCCGGUUCUGAUGUAAUGGUUUGCGAAGCUUCCCGGUUUUAAUGUGUUUCAUUUCUUAAAUAGCCAACACCUUUUGAACACGGUUUAUACAAAUAAGACCCAUUAAUUUAGCCAUAUAUGUUAAUAAAAGAACUGAGUUUGACCUUUACACGAUACGUUUGACUUUUAGAAGAAUAAAUUUUUUGGGUUAUCACAUCAUUCCCCCAUUAAAGGGAAUUCCGUCCCAAUAUUAAGUCUAAGGUAUACACAUGGACUAAAGGAAAAGAGGUGGAUACAUAGGUUUCUGAUGAUUCUCACUCUCCUAAGUGAAUUUGGGUCCACGCUAUGCACUUAGGUGGGCCCUUACUUUCGGGAUAAGGAUUUGAUUAGUCCUAUUGACUUCACUAUCUAGGAUUCCUAUGGAUUCUUCCACAAAGUUGAGGUUCUUGUUCACUUUGAUCUAAUCGAGUGGAAUAACAAGAGUCUCGUUGGAAAAAUACUUUUACAAGUUAAAGAUUUGGAAGAUAAGGUGUAUGUCAUUGAAUUCUCAAGGUAGUCGGGGUGUAUAAGCUACUGGAUCAGAUCUAGUAAGAAUCUCAAAUGACCUUAUGUACCUUGGAUUUAGUAUUCCACGCUUUUGGAAGCGUAUCUUGCCUUUCCGGGUGAGACCUUCACAUGGCGUGGUCAUCAACCUAGAAUUCCAAGGUUUUAUCCUAUUGAAGUCAUACCUUUUUGGUCUGACUUUAGGAUCCUCACGUCGCUCCUGGAUUUGUACUCUCUUCUCGGUAGUUUCUCGGAUGAUUUUCGGACCAACGAAGGUGCCGUAUGGAAAUUGGACCUCUAGCUAGUUGUGUGUCACCCACUUUAGUGAAGUGCAGAGAGGAUCUGCAGUCACGACCACAUAAGGUUUCAAAUGGAACAACUUUAAAUGCUAGAAUGAUAAAGGGCUCGACUAGUUGGAAAAUGUGUAUCCCAUGCUUAAUCAAAGUCGGUCACAUAUGCUCUCAGCAUGACUUCUAAUGAUUGAAUCGUUCUCUCAUUCUGCUUGUCGGUUAGUGGAUGGUAGGUUAUGUUAAUGACUAGCCUAGUUCCCAAAGAUUUCCGAAGUGACUGACUGAACUGGGAGAUGAUUCUACAAUCUUGAUCGUAAAUAACAGAUAUUGGGAGACCGUGCAGUCUAACAAAUCUGUCGGACACAUGUUUAGAUCAUAGAAAAAGUAAAGAUCAUACACAAACUUGGUAUGCAUACUUGGAGUAUGUCGUAACUAAUGUUUAAACAAACAUAGAGUGCAUACUUGGUGUAUGACAAAGCUAUUGUUUAGAAAAACACAGUGUACAUGCUUGGAGCAUGGCACAACUAGUGUUUUCAAUUCAAGUACAAAGUUGAGAAAACCGAAACAAUGAAUAAUGAGUAAUCAGUAUGGUGAUAAAUAAAAAGUGUUUUAUUUAGGUUUUGAUACCAUACUAGAUUCAAUUAUUCUUGUGUUUCAUUUCGCAUGUUUUGACUUCCAAAAUAAACUAGGUUAUUCUUACUGAAUGACUAAGUUAUUCAAACCAUCCACAUUCGGUCAUAUGUUGGAAGUAGAUAUGAAUGAAGACUAUCAUGGGCUAGGCUUGUAAAGGUCUAAGAUGUUGGACAAGGUGGUGCUACAACACUCAUGAGUGCUCAUAAGUUCUGAGUAUUGGAUUCAACCCACGCUCAUUGGAAUAAUUUCAUGGAUAUUAUCAUGAGUGAUCAUAAGACGAUAAUAUCAUAUAUUCUUCAAACCUAGAGAUAUGAGUUGUUACUAUGAGUUGGUUGUACAUUGAUUGCACGAAAACGCAUUGGUGACUCAAUGUUAAAAAACGUGCCUUUGUGUAUGAGUCAACAAGUAGUAGAAAAAGCCAUAUGAGUCAAAGUUUAUCCAUUCCUUUUACCUUCGGGAUAAAAGCGAUAUUUGUAGGCCCCUCGAUGAUUUAAUGAUGAUACAUGUGAGUGCUUGGCCAAGCUAGGACUGAUUUGAUUUGUUCAGUCAGUCGGUAAUCAUGAAUCGAAAAUCGGGAAACAACAGAUGGACAGAGGGAAUGAUUUAUAAUCCAUGUCUCAGUCCAUAUGAUAUAUAGAAUGAAGUAAUAUAUGAUCCAUUAUCUAAUGGACAACUCAUUGACAAAGGUCAGAGUUCAUCGGCAAGGUCAGAGUUCGACAGCGGCUUUUGAGAGCUACGAUUGCCAGUUGGUUCUUGAAGUCAUAUGCAAUAAUAGUUUUAGACUUAUCCAAGUGGGAGACUGUUGGAUUAGUGUCUAUGUCCAUAACUAUAUUUGGUAUGUACUUGAACCGACUCGGCAUGGUCCAUUUGGGUUGCAUGGCAUCAUGCAUUUGGAUUGACUAAAAUGAGAGAAAUAACACUUAAAGUUUGGUAAUAUAUUGUCACACCCCCAAACCAGAAUGACGGAAACGUUCGGGGGUGGAUGACUUCACGUAUAGUAUCAUAACAACGAGUAUAAUAGUGAAGAAAGCGAACACAACCAUCAUCAAUAUAAUUGAAAGGGUUACAUCAUAGAGUAAGUUUACAUGUUUCAAAAUCAAUUACAUCAUGAUGACAAAAUAAGUUUUGAAUUUAACGCCUUAGCGUCCCAUCCUCGAAAGCAGUUGAUUACCUGUUUAGUGAUUUUCUGAGAAUACAGGUUGUUUGAAAAAGUUUCAACACAAAGGUUGGUGAGUUCAUAAGAGUUUUAAUUGAGAAAUAAACUGUUUUCCUUGUAAAAGCAGUAAAGGGAUUCCAGAAAAUCCAAUAUUUUCCUUGAAAAGUGAGUUGUACGUUUCCGUGUUAUGAAAUUGUGCAUCCUAGAAUUUCCAAUAAUUUCCUUCCGUAAUCUCCAAGUGUAUAUAAGUUAUAUAAAAUUAAAGUUAAAUAAACCGUCGAAUGUAAUGGGUCUGCCCUAGGCUCACAACCAAACAAGGAACAGGAAAUAAAGUAGACCCACCAAUUCUAAGUCGAUCACGACUACAUUCUAUAUAACUCUAGCAUAUACACUUGGAAAUUAUAGCUAAAAACUAACAAUUCUAGAUAGAAUGUAAUCUUAAAACCAAUGACCGAAACCAAAUCCUAGUGUAGUGUAUGAAAUAGUAGUAGUGGCUGUGAACAUAAACUAUACAUAUCAUAGUUCAUCGAAUAGUGAUAGUGGUAGUGAACAUGAACUAUGCAUAUUAUAGUUUAUCAAAUGUGAUGGUGAUGGUGAACAUAAACUAUACAUAUCACAGUUCAUCAAAUAGCGAUAGUGGUAGUGAACAUGAACUAUGCAUAUUAUAGCUUAUCAAAUGUGAUGGUGAUGGUGAACAUAAACUAUACAUAUCACAGUUCAUCAAAUACGAUAGUGGUAGUGAACAUGAACUAUGCAUAUUAUAGCUUACCAAAAGUGAUAGUGAAAUUCCUUCUUGUAAUAAGUUUGUAGUGUAGAUGAAACAUAAACUAUACCUAUUAUAGUUUAUUACAUUGUUUGUAAUGUACAUUCAACCUAAUUAUACCGAUUAUAAUUAGCGUACUUACUUGUGGGGGUGUAAUAGACUUAACUGUACUUAUUAUAGUUUAUCAUAGUUAUUCGUAGUGGUAAUAACCCCUUUUGUAUAUGUAAUACCUUUAUUAAUGUGUUUAUUAUGUAAAUGAAUCAUAAACUAUACCUAUUAUAGUUUAUCAAAAUAAAGGUAGUUGUAGUAUUCAUGAACUAUAUUUGUCGUAGCUUACCAAAUGAUUGUAUGUAAUGGAUGUAAAUUUGUUUAUAACAAUUUAUCAUUUAGCAUGCUUAAUAUAGCAAAAAUCCAUUUUAACUGAUGUAUGUCUAUAUAACAAGACAAAAUGACAUAUAUGGUAAUGACAUAUCAUCACAUGAAGGUACACACCUUGCUCAACAAGUUACAAGGUGUAAAUGAAAUUGAAAACAUCUUUCUACUACUACCAUUUCUAUUCUGUUAUUAGAAAAUUCAUAGACAAAUCAUUAAAGGUCCAAAUCAGAAUCUGUAAAUUCUGAGAGUUUGGAAAAUGAGUGUAGUUUGUUCAUAAAUUUUCUCAUCAUUUUUAGUAACCUCCAAUUUGGGUGAAACAGUCCAUAAUCAGAGACUGGUCCGGAUGUUUUCUUGAAAUGAUAGGCAGUUUUGUAAAAAUUAUCAUAAAUUGUAGGAAAAUCAUAUGGAGAUGUGCAAGUAGCCAUUUUAAAGAUAAGAACCUGAAAUACUUGCACCUAAUACAGUUUUGAAAACUAAAAUGUUUAAGUUGUCCAAAACAGUCCGUGAUUGGAGUUCAUACUUUCUGAUGAAAGAUGUUGGAAAAGUUUAGUUGUGUUCUUGGUGUUUUAACUUGUAUCCCCCCCUUAAAACAUAAUAAAACAUGAAAAUAUAUGGGUAUGAACUCACCUUAUAUGAUUUCAGUGGGUGAAUGUUGAAGAAGAGAAGUGUUCAACUCAAGAACACUUGGAGGAUUGCUUGAAGAUUCGAGAAUCUAACACUAAUGUGAUGGAAUUUGUGUAAGCAAUCUAUGAUUUUGAGUGGGAGGAUGUGUAAUAAUCAUAAGAAAGAUGAUGAUACUUACCAAAUGAAGGAGAAAAUCCUUGGAGUAUGCCUUGAAGUUCUCGAAAUUAAGAGAGAAAGAUGAGAGAGUUUGGAGUGUGAUUCUUGGUGGAAAAUGAGAGAAUGAAUGAAGUGUGAGGAGAGAGGGUGGAUGUUCUAGCUCUAAGAACGUGGGAAAUGGCUGGAAAUGAUGAGAAAGUACAUUGACAUGACCUAGUUAUGGUGGAAGGAGUGUGGUUGGUCAUGGAGUGGGUGUGGGUGGUUGCAUGUGUCAUAAUCUGAAGGAAAGUCAACACUCCACCUUUUGUACUUCACCCACUCUUCUUGGAUAAGGUUUAUCCCCAAAAAACGUGAUUAAUUAAUAAAUAUGGGGCCUUAUACGUUAAGAUAAAUUUUUGGGUGAAAAUACCGCGUUAAAAUGAUGAAAAACGGACUUAAGAUGCAAAACUACUCGAAAACCGGGAAGUUGAGGCGAAGCUGCGAGGCUUCUCGCAUGAAGGAGCGAAGGUGCGAGGGUUCGGUCCCUCCUGGUGCUGGACCCGAAGGCGAAGUCAGGCGAAACGAGCCGAAGGCGAAGGUCAGGAGCGAAAGCGAACUUCAGGUUCGGGUCAUCAGGCUUCGGUUCGGUAGGUUCGGUCCUUAUAGCAGAUUCAUUCUUCCUAGUUUCGCUCCGAAAGAGAAGGUUCGGGUUCGGGUUCGGUUCCUUGGUUUGCAGGGGCUUCGGGUCAGCAGGGUUCGGUCCCUAUAGGGUAGUUUCGGCUCUAAGAGGCUUCGGCCCAAAAGGAUGGGUUUUGGGUCCUUAAGCCUAUUUUACUCGAUUUUACCCCGUUUUAAGCGGUUUUUGACCCAGUUAAGGGUCGGGAUGACCUGAUUCAUAAGGUCGUGAUGAAAGUGAAACUUAAUUUUCUUACCAAUUAAGGAAUUGACGGGGAACUAUGUUCCAAAUUUUCACGAAACAUUUGUUUCAGUACCAAAAAUUUUGAUACUCCAAAUCAUUUUCUUUCUUUUAGAGUGGUGUUGAUCAAAUGUUCAAAGCCUACAACAUUUUUCUCCCAACAGGAUCCAAUUACAAAAUUUAUUUUAUGCAUAUGAUUUCCGUGUGAGUAUUAAUUCUUAUCCUUUGUCACUUUCAAAUAUUUUCCAAAGCAUACUUGUCACUUACUACACUAGUCAAACAAGUGAUUUUUGUUGCAAUUACUCACCUUAAAUUAAGUAUGAAAUGUAACGAAAUAUUUUGAGGUACCUACGAAGCCUUGAAAAAGAAGCCCUUCGAAACUUCUCUAUAAGUUUUCGAUUGUAAUUUACGGGAAACCACACAAGCAGUUGAUUAUCUAUCUUGAUAAUUAACGAAGUAACCUUUUCCUGGGGUUUAACUGCUUUCUUGUCAAAAUUUUAUUUUUGACAUCACAGAUCCAAAUUUUUCAUUAAAUUUGAUUCUUACCUUAUUUCAUUGGCACACUGCACUUACGAAAUCCUUGAGGUUUUGAGUAAUACCAACUCAGGUUGACGAUUUCGCAAGACUGGCGAAUGACUUUGUUUCUAAGCCCAAAAACGAAAGAGCCUAACCUCUAUGCCGAAGAUUUUCGAUCUUAUCCACUUCGUACUCAUGAACAGUUUUGAUGUAACUGUUUGGCAACUUAUUCCGAGCUUCAAGGUACUUUAUCUGACAUGGCGUGUAUAAUGGCUAGUGAUUCGAUUUUCAAGGAAGGACGUGGCAAACUCAUUAACGAAAACAUUUUCAAUUCUUUUGGGGUUACAUAUACAAGGUAAUUCUUUUUUCCUUUGAUCAUUACGCUUUCAAAAACUCUCCAACGAACAAAAGCCCUAAUUCUCAAUUUAUUCAAAUUCUCUUCAAGCUUUCAACAAUGGCUGCUACUCAAAACACCUUUACUGAGGACAUUCUUUCACAAACAAUCAUGAAGAUCCAAAGUACUAAUUACCAGGUCGAGGGUGAUAUUUCACUAUACCUUGAGGAGUUGAAGAUGCUGAUAAUUGCUCUUCAAAAUUGUGGUCUUGCUAUUGUUAUGUUCAACUCUUUCGUAGUUCCGAUAACUUGGUUAUCCAGGGUUGCUUCAACUGCUUCCUACAACAAGGCUACAUAUGUGAUUACUUUUAAUCUUGUGAAUGAGAAAUGGACUCGUCUGACCAAGAAGAUGUUCACUCAAUUCUUGAAUAUCCCCAAUUCUUCACCAUUCUUCAAACCAAACAAUGAUCAGAUCAUGUUUAUGUUCAACGAGAUGGGACAUCAGUCCCCACUCUAAAAAAUCAGUGACUUCAAGAAGUCUAGAUUACCCUGUACGUGGAAUUUCUUCUUCGGCAUUUAUCUUAGGUGUCUCGACAAAGGAAGACUUGAUGUCUAUGCUAUGGUGAUGGGAUUAUACUAUGAUCUCAGUGUUGAUUAUGCGACUCAGUUGUGGAAGCAGUUCGUGAAAAGCUUGGAGAAUACUAAUUAUCACUUUCCGGUGAAAGGUAUUGGAGUCUCGUUCUUGAGAAAAUUUACGAAAAAAGAGGGAAUUCAAGUUCCUAAUAAUGAAGAAAAGGUGGAAUUUACAAAGUAUCACUUUCCGAAGUCAGUCGAGGAUGAUUCAGAAGUAUUUCCUACAAUUGCAAGAAUUUCAGAUGGCAUGUUGAAGAAGGUUGAUCCAACAAAUAAAGUGUUGGUGGAAUAUUUGAAGAAUAUCAACCCUGAUGUCGAAACUGGGGUGUUGCUUGAAGUUGAUGCAGGGUCUUCAAAACAAUCAAAGAAAUCGAAAAAUAGUGAUGGUGCUGCUCUUGUUUCUGAAAGCCCUAAAUAGCAUAACUUUCCAAAGAAAAAUGAUAAUGCUAAAGUAAAGGAUCGAAGAAAGAUGUAAUAGAGAAGGAGUUGAUUAUUGCUGAAUCAUCGAAGGAAGUAGUCAUCUGAUGAUUCAUAUUUUGAAAAGAUUGAGGAAGUCAUCUGAUGAUUCAUAUUCAUUCAUACGAAAGGCUCAGUUAAACCGAAAAUUGCUAAAGAUUCGUGAAAUACCAGCUCCUGUCUCUCCAAAGACGAAAAAGAGAAGAGCCGAGGAUGUAGUAAAGCACAUUUCCAAGAAGUGCAAGAAACGAAAACUGGUGUUUCGUGACGAGUCAUCAGACAUCGAGAUUGUACCAUAUACUCAUUUGGGAUCAUUUUCUCCAAAGGUAUCUACUCCCAUCAUUUCUUCCUUAGCUUCACCAACCACCACCAUUUUAUCCACUGUUUCUAUUGCACUCGAAAUUGGUGUUACCAAGUCAGUUUCUGAGGAAGUACCCAUUUCUGACUUUCGUACAAACGUAUCUGAUACAGUUGUCAGAGUCAUUAUGAGUGUUGACAAUACGAAUCUUGUUACUGAAGCUAUUCCUCUUAUCACUUCCUCUAUAGUUUCUUCUACUAUAGAUACUUCCUUACAUCCUUUCUUCACUCAAACUCAAACUAUCACCACAUCACCCACAUUUGAGAACAUCCUUAAACAACCUAUCACAAUCCUUUUUCAGUCACAAUCCACUGAUCCACGAAAGCCAAAUUCCGAUGAUGAAACAGACGGAGGAGGUUUCGGAGGAACAUUUGAUGAUCUUCAUUUUGAUUCUUAAGAGGGGGAUGUUUCUGAUCACAUGAUGAUGUUAGGAAAAUAAUUCAAGAUCCUAAAUAGAAAGCUUAAUUCAAUUUUGCAAUCAUAAGCCAAUUCAAGAGCCAAGAAUUCGGUUUUUGGGAUCGAGGUAGACGUCAUGUUAAAAGUUGUUUAGCUAAGAUUGCAAAGCAUGUUAGAUACGAAUGAUAAGAGAAAUGAGCUACGGUUGAAUGCUCACGGAGAUUUGAUUGCUUCUGAGAUCAAUGAACUUCACAACGUCGCAAAAGAACGUCAUGUGAUGUUCGUACAAGAUGUUAAGAAGGUUCGUGAAGAUGUUAAUCUCAAGUUGGAAGAAAUGAAGAAGGAAGUUUCUCAGGAAAUUCGUGAAGUUAAUGAUCGUUAUACUUCCAUUCAAGAAAAGGUGGAUAUUAUUGAAGGAGUUUCUUAGUGAACUCAAAAGCAUUGUUUCGAAGCCAGCCCUACAGUCCUUUUUAACUCCUGAAUUUCUUUCUCAGAAAUUGAAUGUUCUUGAUCAAGUCAUUCAGAAGGCUGUACCACCUAUAACGAAAUUUGCUCAAAUGUUGCCUUCGAAUGCCCCACCUUCUAUCACAGUGGUGCAAGGGGAGAAAAGAAAGUUAAUGAAGGCAAAAGCAAAGUUUCGAAUGUCACAAAGGUUGUUGAUAAAUUAAAAUUUGUAACUUCGGGAAUUCCAUCUAAAAUUGUAUCUACUCAAGUCUUAACUCCUUUUGUUAUGAAGGUCAUAACAGAAGACCAAAUACUUCAUAUGAUGAUAAAGGGAAAGGUGUUGCUGUUGAAAAGACCAAGGAAGAGAAGAUGGCUGAGAUAGAAGCAGAAAUAGAAAAGUAGAGACAAAUACAAAGCAUAAUGACGCUAAGAGCAAGUAAUCCUCCUGGUAUGGAUAAGGGAGAUCCAAAAAAGCUCUACAGGUAGGAAAGCAUUGAAUUUAAGGUAGCAUUCAAUCGAAUGUAUGCUUUUGAGAAGAAGCCAAAGAAAAGAUUUUCGAUUGCAAAUACUGAGAUGAGCCAACUGGAUUUUCCUAUAAAUGAGAUGAUGUUCAUCAUGUCUCAAUACAAGAUUGUUGAAAAGUUUGACAAUGAAGAUGAUUUCAUUUACAUGAAGAUCAAAGUUCAUGCAGUUCUUGGGAAGGCGCCAGAUGAGGUUUGGUCAUUGAUAAAGAUCAAAAAAGUGGUGAGCAUAAUGAACUACGUUUUGUUCAAAGGCAUGAUUCAAAACUUUAGAUAUCAUGUUAUUCGUGCAAAUAAUCAAAGAUGUGAUUUUUCUGUUGCUGAUUUUCCGUUAAUGUAAUUGAACGACUUGAUUGAAGUAACUUUGAUACUUAAGGAUAUGGAGGCUUUUCAACUUAAUGGAACUGAUAAAGAUGUUUUCAAACAUGGUCUAGCACACAUCAAGAUUUUCAUAGACAAUUAUUAUGAUAGUCUAGCAUUAACUGAUGAAGAGUUAGCUUCAGGAAUGGGAAGAGAAGUGAAGGUUGCGAUGGAAUUGUGGAAAACUCAAGCUAACUUGAAGAAAUAUGCUAAUUGAGAAAUUUUCUUAAAACCUUUUGGAUUAGUCUUGGCAGGAAAAGAUAAGAAUGGCAAACCUAAAAUCUUUUUGUUUCAAGUAAGCAAAGUGGAACGGUACCCUACAACUCAGUAUACGAACUUUAUUAUUCGUAUGAAUAAUUAUACGAAGAAUAAUGAAGGAGAUAAGAUCAAGUUAAAGAAGGUGUUAACUUGGUACCCGGAGAUAUGAAGGAUGAUGCACUUUGCUGCUUAGAUUCUCACGAAUUAAGUAGUUUGACUCGUUUACAACCCGAUAGAUUGUUAGGGUUGAAAUAUUCUAAAGAGUCGAAGUGUUUGUUUUGAAAUUAUUUGACAUUCUUGUUAGUUUAUUUGUUGAUCUAAAUUCUUUUAAUGGACUCCAUAACAUGUCCUCAAGUUAUGGAAUUCCAAGAGUCUUUUCCAUUAAAAUCAUUAAAACUCAUAAGUUGUUACACAUUAAUAAUUUAAUUCCAAACUCUAUAGUUUUAAAAGUUUAAAAUUAAACCCUUAUACUAUUAUAAUAUUAUAAGUGUAAUAAUAUAUAUAUGUGUAUAAGAACAAGUCAGUCAUACCAUUAGUAGGCCUCAUUCAUGAAGUCAGUCUCUAAGGGGGGUAUAAGGUUACUGCCUAUAAAAUGUUAGUUUAGUGGGUGUCCAUUCUCACCCACCACUUCUUUGACUGGUGGAAGGUCGUUAGUCAAACGGGUCGGAUAGGACACUAAUUCUCGUUAAGUAUAAUGAUAAUUAUAAAGAAACUAAACCUUUUAUGAAUUCUCAAUCUUAGUUACUUUAGGAAAAUGUGAAAUUGAUGCUAACCCAUGAAAGUACACUUUGCACCUUGCUAAGUCGUUAGUGGAGCGUGUGUGGUUAACCGACACACUAACAUGGACUAACAAGGGUGGAAAAGGGUGGCUUAUGGGUUAUCAGAGAUCGGUGGAACGUGUGUGGUUAACCGGCACAUCGAUUAGGUGGUAAAAUUAAGAGUACCAAGAUAAUUUGCAUGGUUAUUCACACCUUGUUUGUGAUCAUCGGUAUCCAAGUCACAAACUUGAAGGGCAUAAUCAAGAUUUAAACAUGCCAUUGAAUUGUUUAAUAAAUCUCAAAAGAUCUAGGAGUUUCAAUCCAAUUAAAACUUAAUAAUCUGUUUCGCUUUUCAUGGUGGAAAUUGGUAAAUCGUCAUUUACCUACCUUCAAAUAUUUUUUAGCUUAGAUUAUGACCUCCCUCUUCCAAGUUAUAAAAUAUUGUGUUCGGUCCUAGCCAUAAUAUUUCAUUUGGGAAUCUUAUUAAAGACUAUUUAUCUAACUUAAACUUGUCUUUCUUCCUUUUUAGAUGUCUUCCAACAAUGCUUCUGGCUCAAACCCUACUAGCUCCUUUUCUCUCAUUAAUCUUUGUGGGAGAGUCAUAUUUGCUGGGACUAAUUUCAAUGAUUGGAUUAGGAACAUAAGGAUGGUCACUCCCUAUAAGGACAAGGAGUAUGUCCUUGAUAAGGAACUAAAGGUUAUUGAUGAUUCUUCCGCUACUCCGGAGGAGAUUGCUGAGUACACUACCAAUGAGAAGGAUGCCACUAAGGUAUCAUGUAUCAUGUUGGCUACCAUUAAAACAGAACUACAGAAAUACUAUGAAGAUUUCUACCCUUAUAAAAUGCACCAGGACCUGAUGGAAAGAUACCAUUAGAGUGCUCAUCAGGAAAGGUAUGAAAUCAUCACCUCCAUGAUAACAACAAAAAUGAAGGAUGGAGAGUCCAUCACAGGCCACCUGCAGAUAAUGUAAAGAUCUGUGGACUGUUUGCUAAAGUUAAAUGUGAACUUUGAUGAGGAGUUAGCAAUAGAUAUCAUUCUAAACUCCUUACCCUCCUGUUAUGAUCAGUUCCGCAUGACCUAUCAUAUUAACAUGGAGGAGGUCACACUUAUUACACUUCCAGGACUUUUCAGGACUGCCGAAAGUAGUCUCAAAUGUAAGAAUGUUAUUACCACUCCUAUCACUGCCCGUGUUAUAGCAAUCAGGAAAGGUAAAGGGAAGAAGAGGAAAACCCCUUCGAAGGGUACCAAGGGAAAGUCUCUUGAUGGCUCCUCUUCGAUUGGAACCAAAGGGAGUUCCAUCACUCCCUCUUCCAACCCGAAGGAUGCACAAUGCUUCUACUGUCAGGAAAAAGGGCACUAGAAGAAAAGCUGCCCCAUGUAAGUACCAAAUUUUGCUUGAUGUAUCAAUCAGAUCCAAUUGAUAAUGCGGAAUCCCAAUCAAUUGGAUGUUUGAAGAUCAAAAUAAGAAGAAGGAGAAGAAGAAUAAGAUGAAGCUAAUGUAUUGAUGAUUAGAAUGAAGAUUCUUACUAGAGAUUCACAUACACACUAUUCUUCUCUCUACUAUCUCCCGCUCUCUAGCCGUCUACCGCUCUGUCCUUUGUUUAUAUGGAACAUGGGAUGUGAACCAGUUCAUGGCCGUAAACACCCACCUGGGCCGUAAACACUUCCAACCACAUGGACCGAAAACCCAAUUUCCUAGAAAAGCAAAGUAUAAACCAUAUUUUUAGACCCAACAAUCUCCCCCUUGGUUUAUAGCUUUCUUUUUCUAUUUACCCAACAAGUUCCCCCUAAAAAUGUAGUUGGCUUUUCUUGUCAAUCUUCAUUUGGAGCUUGGCUUCAGCUUUUAUCUUUGAUUUCUUCACAGCUUCAAGAUGAACUUGAUGAAUCUUCAAUAAAUGACUUCAUGUUGAGAAGUUAAGCAUUUCUUCAAGAUUUGACUUUGAACGUACGUUGGAUGUGGAGGCAUCAUGUAAAGAUUCUUGAAAAAUGGCACUCUUAGCUUGAGAAUCUUCAGAGACAAAAAUAUAGAGAACGAAUCUUUUGGAUCACUUCAGCAGGUACAUAGAUAACAGAGAAUUGAUUGAGGAGGCUUCAAUGCAAUCUGUCACACAAUCUUCAAGUGCAGCUUAACCUUGCUUCUGGGGUUGAAAGAUUGAAUGUUGAAAGAAUAGUCUUCAUUUCUAGUUCCUUCAAAUGAAUUUUCCUGAAUGAUCAUCGGUACGUCUUGAGAGGUAACCGUGACUAAAAAGUCCCUGUGGAUCACAUAAAGAAUCAUAAAGACCCUUCUCACCACAGUUUUUCAAGGAUGAAUCAUUGGCUCAGAAAGAGACUUCUCGCAGUAUCUGUGUAAACUCGGAGGAACAUGCUGCGAUUUGUUGAGUAUCAUAGAAUUACUUAUGGCUAGUUUUGAUGUUAUCCCUUGUAUAUCCUUGAUCAUAGAUCUCAAUACACUUAUCAAGUUAACGAGUUAACUUGGCCCUUGGCGAGACGUUCAACGAUACCUAUUUCCGUGUUGGGUGAAUCGCCCUAGCGUCGUGACAGUUCUUAGGUAAAGAAAGCUAACAAGACCAAUCUGACAAUUUUUCCAAGUAAGCAUGAUUCGCAACUAUCAUCUGACUUUAGGUCAAAUGACUCCAAGACUCCAUCCUUUUGGAGUUGGCCUAUGCGUUUCUUGCUUUUGCAAGAAUCCCACAGUCACCUAUGAACCUAAGCCAAAGAAGAAAAUGGGUAGGCCAAUUUUGGACCCUAAAUUAAACCAUUGGAGUAAAUGAGGUAGAGGGCAAAAAAAGGGACUAAUAGAGGAUGCUCCAUAGAGGUUAUAACCCAUGGAUCAUGGGGAAAAUGAAAAUCCAUGCACAUUAGGGUUAUACAUGGUGUAAAAGGUUUUGAAUAGUUUCAAAUCUUGCCCUCAAGUUAUGGAAUUUAUAAAUUUACUUUAGAAAACAUUAAUUCCAUACCGUAGAGUUCCAAAAGUUAAAAUUCAACCCUUAUACUUUGUAAUAUUAUAAGUUAAUAAUAUAUAUAUAUACNCAAAGUAAUUAUUGUGUUCUUGUAUGCAUAAAUGUGGGCCAAUCAUUUUACUUAUUUUAAGAAAGUGAUUAAUAUAUAUCAUUGAAUUAAAUAUAAUUAAAAAAUACCAUCUAAUUUAACUACAAGGGUAUUUUAGUCAAUUAAUAUAGAUUAAUAAAGGAAAUUUGCAUAUUUUAAGGGAUCAUAGAUACUAUUAAUUUUACAAAUCCGAUUUUAUGAAUUAUAAGGUUUUUAAUUCGGACAUUCUGACAGAAUAUGUUUGAGUAUGUUCAAAAAUAAAAAUAUUCUUGAACCACAAAAUAAUAAAAAUAUUUUUGAACAUAUUUCUUGAUCAUGACUUUAAAAUGUUUUUGUAGAAUAACAAAAUUAUCGAACCAUCAAUUGAAGAAUAAAAAAAAUUACAAUAAUUCUUAUAGACUACACGUAACAAUUGCUAAGAAUUACAUCUAUUGUUAAAGAAUAAAAAUAAAAAAAAUUUCAAAUCUGAAAGAAAAAACAUCGAAAUCUAACAAAGUCACCCAUACAUUAUAAAAGAAUAAUGUUGGUAAGUGGCGUCAUUCAAAUUUCGUGGUCUGUUCUUCAAGCAUCAACGUCUGUAGAAACAAAUCCAAUGAAUAAAUUAGUGAGAAAAUAUCCAUAUUCCAUUCCAACGUAAUUGGAAUUCGUGAUUCCAUUCUGAUAGAAUUGGAAUUCAUUUACCAAUAAUUAUAUUAAUUCGGGGAAUUGUAACAGAUCAUGUUCAUGAUUAUCAUAAAAAACAUUAUUUUCUGAUAGAAUAAUAUAAACGAAGAAAUACCAUUCUAUCAAACAAUCAACCCAAACAUCCAUUCUAUAUAUUGAAAUCAAAUCAGAUUAAAAGAACCCAUUUGAAGAUUAAGUGAAAAGGUAUAAUAACAAAGAAAAAGAAAUUUACCUUAAAUAGUUUCAGAAAAUUCCAAUAUAUAUCAUAAUUAAAACAUGCAUAUGAUUUUGAUAAGCAUACACAAUCUCUUAUUUGUAAAUGAAAUCGAAAAAGAAAUAAUUACCUAACAGUAUCAUUGUCUUCUAUAUUCUCUUUAAUUAAAAUUUAUGUUUUUCAAAUGGUUUGAUAAAAAUGUGUUCACAGUGAUAUUUAUAAUUGUGUAAAAAUUAAUGUUUGUCUAAAUAAUGAUUUUUGUUGAUUAUAUGUGUGUGCUUCAGACAACUAGUCAUCAUAGUGACUUUUAUUAAACAAUAAUUUUGCAGAAGAUUCCACCAAACAUAUAACCAACGUAAUCAUAUAAAUUUCCAUCGCUCAAAUCAAAAAAAUUCCGGUGAUUUCAAAAUGUCGCCCAAAUCUCGAAGAACAGUCGUCACAAGUGAAAGAGAGUUCAAGAAUUUUUUCCAAGGAUGGUCGGUUCGUCAGGAACAUUACAUGGAUGAGCUUCGAUCGAAUUUAUGAACUUCUACUCAUAGCUCCGAUGAUGAACAUCUCCGUGAUUUGAUCGCUCGUGUUCUCUCGCAUUACCAGCAGUACUACGAGGAGAAAUCUCGAAUCUUGAAUCAUGAUGUGUUCUUAGUGCACUCUACGCCGUCGUUCUCAUCGUUUGAACGGAGUUUCUUCUGGAUUGCUGGAUUCAAGCCAGUAUUAAAGUGUUUGGGGCGGAUGAUGGUGGCAACGAUUUUGUAUCAUGAUUAUGGCUUGUAAUCGGUGGAGAUUGAGCGGCUAAAGAAAAAAAAAACGAGUUUAAUAUAAACUUGGAGAAAUUAGGUUAAAAGUCAAUACCAUGAUUAUAGGUAUUAUUUUUGGAUGUUACUAAUCAAAUUACUAAAUUACCCAUAAUUAUUUAUUUUAUUAUUUAAUUUUGAUUGGCCUACAUUUAUGUAUACAAUCACACAAUAAUUACUUUGAACACCUGAACCUAGUUCUAUAUAUAUAUAUAUAUAUAUAUANUAUUAUAAGUUAAUAAUAUUUAUAUAUAUAUAUAAAAGCAAGUCAGUCUUACCGUUAGUAGGCCUCAUUCACCAAGCCGAUCUAUAAGAGGGUAUAAGGUUGUUGCCUAUAAAAUGAUAGCUUAAUGGGUGUCCACUCUCACCCACCGCUUCCAUGACUGGUGGAGGGUCGUUAGCUGAACGAGUAGGACAAGGAAUAUAAUCCUCAUUAAAAUUAUAAUGAAAAAUAUAAAGUAACUAAACCAUUUUAUAAAUUCCCAAUCUUAGUUACUUUAGGAAAAUGUGAAAUUGGUGCUAACCCAUGAAAUUACACUUUGUACCAUACCAAGUCGUUGGUGGAGCGUAUGUGGGUAAUCAGCACACAAAAAUGGACAAGUAAGAGCUGUAAAGGGUGACUUCAUAUUUAUCAUAGAUCGGUGGAGCGCUUUUGGGUAACCGGCACAUUGAUUAGGUGAUAAACAUUAAGCGUACCAAGUAAAUUAAUUUGCAUGGUUAUUCACACCUUUUUUGUGAUCCUCGGCAUCCUAGUCACAAACUUGAGAGGGCACAAUUGAGAUUUAAACAUGCCAUUGCAAAGUUAAAUGAAUCUCAAAAGAAUCUAGGAGUUUCAAUCAAAUAAAAACCUAAUAAAUCAUUUCGUUUUUCAUGGUGGAAAUUGGUGAAUCGUCAUUCACCUACCUUCAAAUAUUUAAUAUCUUGGAUUACGAACUCCCUCUUCCAAGUUAUAAAAUAUUGUGUUGGGUCCUUGCCUUAAUAUUACAUUUGGGUGUCUUGUUAAGGAUUCUAUAUCUAAUCUAAACUUGUCUUUCUUCUUUUCAGAUGUCUACCAACAAUGCUGCUUCUGGCUCAAAC
rnacentral:lncRNA from 1 species